AUCAUUGUCAUUGUAGCUUCAUUUGUGGGGAAAAUAUUCGAAGGCUGUGGUUGAGGAUGAGUGACUGAGUUUUGGAUUGUGAAUAGAGGCUGCUUAGGUUCUGGACCACCAAUUACAGUUGUGGAACCAUUUAGCAUAAAAAUUACAUCCGGCAUGCUCGGCCUAUCCGUUGGAUUGUCCUGUACACAAAGCAACCCAAUAUGCACACAUUUCAUUACUUCUGGAGCCGAAUAUGAGUCAGCCGCCAACAUUUCAUCUACCAACUCCAAUUCCCUGCCUUCCUUCCAUAACUGCCAUGCAUAGGCUAGUAAGCCUAGCUGUCGAUCAAAGAUAUAGAAGGCGGUAUUCUUCUUGCUGCUAAUAAUCUCCAAUACCAAGACCCCAAAGCUGUAAAUAUCAGAUUUUUGAGAAAAUAUUCCACCCAUGGCAUACUCUGGAGACAUAUAUCCACUGCGUGAACAUGAAACUCAUUAGUAUAUAUGUCGCUGAAAUACGUGCCUGGUUUCUGCCUUUUAAGAACAACUUUACCAAAAAUAUAUCUAAUGUGAACGAUGCAACUAAUUAGCAGUUUUUAUCCAAACCAGGAGGAGUCGGUUAAGAGUUCAUGAAUCAUGAAUCAUGAUGCAAUGCUAACCAUUAGAACUUUGGUUGCAUAUGACAUGUUCAAGAAUAUACAGGAAAGGCAUGAAUCUUACCGCGUUCCCACAACUCUCUGAGUAUUUUCUAAAUUCUGUGUCCCUUCAACCGAACGUGACAAUCCAAAAUCUGAAAUUUUUGGGUUCAUUUUCUCAUCCAAGAGAAUGUUGCUCACUUUUAGAUCUCUAUGUAUUACCUUCAAAUAGGAAUCAUGAUGGAGAUAAACAAGCCCUCUAGCAACACCUUGAAUAAUAUUGAAACGUGUACCCCAAUCAAGCACUGCUCUUCUCAUCGAAUCUGAUCAUCAAAUAAUAGAUCAAUACACCGACUAGAAUGUAAAGAUAAGAAACUGCAGUAAAGUGCAAGUGAAACUAACCGAAAAGAAAAGUAUCCAAGCUUUUGUUUGGCAUGAGCUCAUAAAUCAAUAACUUCUCGUCCUCUUUAACGCAGCAACCCAUGAUCCUGACCAGAUUUUUGUGUUGGAGAUUGGAGAUCAACAACAUUUCAUUCUUGAACUCUACUACACCUUGCCCUGAGGUACUGGAUAGUCUUUUUACUGCUAUUUCCUUCCCUUCUGCUAGCUUACCCUAUACAAAGUCCACAAAUAAAUCACUGCAUUCAUGUCUCUCUGUAUCUAUCGUAAAAAUAAUAAUAAUAGUAAUUACCCUAUAAACUGGACCAAAUCCUCCUUGCCCAAGUUUGUUUUCUGUGCUGAAAUUGUCCGUAGCAACUAAUAUGCUAUCAAAUCCAUAGAUCCGUAGCUCAGACAGAUCAUGUUUUCCUCCUAUAUAUUCUUGUAGGAUGUCCCUUGUUAAUUUGAUGCGUCCUGAUUUUGCAAUUAUAAACAUCGAACACUGAAUCCAAGUGAAACAACCAACAAAGUUUUGAGAGAGAUGAUGUGCCAAUGCAUUAUAUUAAUCCAACACCUCGAUCUCUUUCACUUAAUUACCUUUUUGCUUAGCUCUCAUCCUGCACAAACCGAACACUAUGGCACCCAAUACACCGAUAAAACAAACAACUGUAAGGCUCACAAUUAACUUUAUUGGCAUUCCUUUACCUGAAAAAUUUAUAAAACAAAAACAAGAUGAGAUAUAUAGAAAAAGAAAAGUUACGGCUUGAUAAUUAGAGUUGUUCAAGGCUUCAAAUACUUUUGAACCAAAAAAUAGGCUUCAAGCACUAGUAUCAUUAGUUCAUCCGCUGGUUCUGCGCGUGCUAGGUGAAUAUAAACAUCUACGCCAUCAGAGGGAAACUUCUCCACAUGAAUGAGGUGUUUGGACCAGACCAAACACCGUGUUUUAUAAACACUUACGCUUGGUAAGAACAAUUAUUUAGGCGCACUGUCUUGCAGUCAGCGGAUGUGCUGUCAUAAUCCAAAGACACAAACUCAUGAGAAUCUGGUACUUUGAACCCUACCAGCUUCAGAAACCCAUCAUCAUCAUCAUUUUCUUUUCCUCUCAACGUGACUAACUUAUUUGUCUCUCUCACAAAACGAUUUGGUUUCCCACACACACCCUCCCGCCAAUUUCCUCUGCUCCAUUUCCCGUCUGAAUUGGGUACAAACCUGUUGAAUCCCACAUCGGCUAGAGGGAAAGAAGAAAAGCAAUUUAAAUAGAAUUAUCUCACUCUAACUAAUAUUGAAGUUUUUUGUGAUAAAACUUUGCACCUGAUGGAUUGGGCACUUGGUAGAGUGGGGACGGUGUUGGUAGAGUGAGUCCCUCAGCCCCUUGACCUGAAAAAUUCAACAAACCCUUUCAAGCACUUGCAGAUUGGUGAUCCAGAAGCUUUGCAAACUCCAAAAGGUCCACAUGUUCCAUAAUUGUCACAUUCUUUUUACUGAAAAUAUAACUUUAGCCCUUAAAAUUUAAUUUUCUCUACAUAAAACCCGACAUAGGUUUUUUACUUGAAUAAAACCUAUUGACAAGAUUCCAUAUCAACAAAUUCAUUAAUUAUGUUUGACUUCACACAUUUAAAGCCUAAAAUACCCCUAUUUGAAUUUUUUUUAUUUUAUUGAUAAACCCUAUUUGGAUGUUUGAUGUACAUAAUUAAUGGCUCAGCCCCUUGACCUGAAAAAUUCAACAAACCCUUUCAAGCACUUGCAGAUUGGUGAUCCAGAAGCUUUGCAAACUCCAAAAGGUCCACAUGUUCCAUAGUUGUCACAUUCUUUUUACUGAAAAUAUAACUUUAGCCCUUAAAAUUUAAUUUUCUCUACAUAAAACCCGACAUAGAUUUUUUACUUGAAUAAAACCUAUUGACUAGAUUCCAUAUCAACAAAUUCAUUAAUUAUGUUUGACUUCACACAUUUAAAGCCUAAAAUACCCCUAUUUGAAUUUUUUUUUUAUUGAUAAACCCUAUUUGGAUGUUUGAUGUACAUAAUUAAUGGCAUGCAUAUUGUAAGGAAAAAUUAAUGAUUUUACAAAAAAAAAAAAAAAAACACUAACGUUAUAAAUUCAUUGCCUAAUAUAUAAUAACAUAAAACAUGUCUAAUAUAUGUUAUUAUACAUGCUUAAUUAAGUCAAUAAAAUUAUAUUUUACAUAUUAAUUUGGAUAAAUUAUUUCACAUACACAUAUAUACAUAUACAUAUACAUGUACAUGUACAUAUACAUAUACAUAUACAUAUACAUAUACAUAUACAUAUACAUAUACAUAUACAUAUAUAUAUAUGUACAAAUGCCUGAUAUAUUUAAAAUUCAUGUAAAAUAAUUGACCUACAAAAAAUAAAAACAUUUGAUUCAAAUAGUGCACCUACUAUUAAAAUUUUAAAAUGUUAGAUUGCUUAAAAAAAAAUUUACCCAAGAUAUGUAAAAUACAUGAAAAAUAAUUUACCUACAUAAUAACAAACCCAAUAUAUGCAAAAUACAACUAAAAUAAUUUACCUACAUAAUAAAAUGUGUCAAAUAUAUAUAUAUAUAUAUAUAUAUAUAUAUAUAUAUAUAUAUAUAUAUAUAUGAUAUUGAUACAUACAAAAUAAAAUACCUACAUAACAAAUGAAUGCUAUUUGAUUCAAAAUUAAUUUACUUACAAAAUAAAGCAAGGUUAUUUGAUUCGAAGUUAAUUUACCUAUUAUUUGUACAUAUCUUAUAAUAAUAAAAUGUGUCAAAUAUAUGUAAUAAUAUAUGAACAAUAAGUUACCUACAAAAAUAAAAGAAUGUUAUUUGAUUCAUUAUUAAUUUACCUACAAAAUAUAUAUUAUUUGCUAAUCAUAAAUUUACAUAUAUAGGUAAGACGUAUAGUAGUACAUAUUGGUAAAUUAUAUAUAUAUUGAACUUAUGAUAGUACUAUAUACUUUUGACGUAUGUGUGUCUAUAUAUAUGUGUGUGUGUGUGUGUGUAUGUUGGGGUAAUAGUAUGUGCAAUAAUUAUUUGUUCAUUAUAAUUAAGGUGAGUAAUAACAUUUAUUGAUUUGAUUUGAAUAUUGUGGCACAAGUUGUAAAUAUUUUGUAAUAAUAGGUCAAUUACUUUUUUACUUGGUAAUCUAUUUCAAAUUUAGGUUUUAUUUGGAUGUUUAGAAUUAGGUGGGUUUUUAUCUAGGGAAUAAGAGUUGCAAGGUCUACAUCUAAAGAAUCCUUCUUUUUAUUGUGGCUGCGAGUAGACAUACCAUAUGGGCAGAAUCUAAUGAUGUAGUCAGGUCCGCCAUUGCAGGAUAAAUAAGCAUAGUUAUAAGCUAUAGGGCACUGCUGCUCAAGGAUCUGAGAGUACUCUGUGGGUUGACAUGUAUCAUUCGACGCAGUGCAGCAGUACUUCGGCUCGUUGAAUGCCAUGCAAGCGCUUUUGCAACUGAUGACACUCCCAUCAACCGCUUUCACUUGUAACUCAGCCGGGCAUGCUGCGUUAACAUUCGCAUCGCAAGUCGAGGCCAUGCACUCGCUGGUGCCGCCUUGUGGGGCGACGGAAAUGGGUAAGUUGAAGCCGUCAACAAGAGUAACAUCGUACAAAUCUUGUCCCCAUUUUUCUGAGAUUUUAAUUUCUACUACAGUUGCUGGUGGAGCUGCGCUUGUGCCGUUGCAUGCGACUUGGCCAGAGCCACAGUCUGCAGUUUCACAAGAGAAUUUUCCAGCGGCAUCUGUGGAGCAUCUGGUUCGGCCCCAGAAGCGACCGGACCAUGGGGAUGGAGCGUCCACUGACCGGUUAGCUUUGGAUGCUAAUUCGAACCCGGUGAGUGAUAAUUGAGGUUUUUGGUCACCGGUUAGGGUUCCUGGCCAGACAGUGUUGGGGCAGUUGUUUGUGAAAGUGAUUUUGGCUGCAUGUGCACCUGAAUUUAUAUUCAACAUAAAACUAGAUGUAAGAAUAUUGAAAUCUAAAUACAAUUGUAAAAUAUAUCAAAUUAGAAAUAAAUAAAGGGUAAUGCUAGCGAGACUAAAUUUGUUGGCAAAAUUUGUAAAUUAAAUGAUGUGUCACUAAUAUGAAUCAACACGUUUAUUAACGCUUAAGUAAUAAACCAAUCAUCAACUUCCAUGUUCUUUAGUUCCAAAAUUUUGUCUACAAAUUUAGUCUCCCUAGCAUUCCCCAUAAAUAAAUAACUGAUUUGAAAUCAUUUUAAGAACUUUUUCAUAACUAAUUAGUAAUUUUAUUAUAAAUAUACUUUGAUGAUGAUUUAUCUAUUCUCAUGAUCUCAUCACUGCAUUGGCCGGCUCACUUUUAUGUAUCCGCAUUACUCAUCAUCGAUCGUUAUUCUCUUUUAGACUCCUUACCGUCGCUUUUAACGUUGUUACAAUGUAAAGCGUAAUAAGGGUAAUAUUGUAAACAAGUCUACUCAAGAUCGUUGAGUUUGUUAUAAAGUAGUUGUAACAGUUUUGUAAUUACUUAGUGAUUAGUUAGACAAGAUAUAAUUAGUUGUUAAUACAAGUGAGUUAGUCACUAGUAUAUAUACACCAACAUGUAAUCUUAUUCCUUAUUUCUCGCCCGUGCCUAACGAGCUUUCGAUCCUCCCUUCUUCCGCUUCCCGCUUGUCUUCCUCUUUGAAGCUCCAAACCCUAAAAAUCCAACCAUGGCGACCCCUGGAUCUCCCUCCUUUAAAUCUGUUUCUCAAAUUCAUCAUGCUCCUAUGAAUUCUUGCCCUAAUUCCUCAACUCCUUAGGCAAUUUCUUCGAUUACGAUCCAGAAUAUUAGAUCUAUGGUUCCAAUUAAGCUCACCACAAUGAACUAUCUCACAUGAAGUGCAUUGUUUGCUUCGAUCUUUCGCCGAUAUAAUCUCACUGGAAUUAUUGACGGCACGAUGACUGCUCCGCCCAAAUUUCUUCUUGAUUCGUUUGGAAAUCGCACCUCUACUCUUAAUCCUCAGUAUGUGACAUGGUUUGAAAAUGAUCAAAACAUUUUGAUCUGGAUCAUUUCUACACUCUCAAAUUCCCUCAUCCCAUACACUGUUGGAGUCAACCCUUCUCUAAUAUUUGCAUCCGGCAGGCAUGCAUAUUAUAGACUAAUACGAAACAAAAUAGAAAAAAAAUUAAUAAGAAGUUUGUAUAAUAAUACCUGAGAAGAAGAGGAUGGCCAUGGUGAGGCCGAGAAGGGAAGCUACUUGGCUCUUCAUCAUCGUCGUUGAAUAUAUCUUAAUUGCCUGCUUGUUGCUAAUUAGCUUGAACUUAUGAUUUCAUGAUAAACUUAGGUGCCAAGCCAAGGGGGGCUGUACAUAGGCUUGUAGCUUGCCCAACCUGUCUGAUCUUUUGCAUGAGUAGUAAUUGCGGGUCUAAGUUCAACGCUGACUAUUAAAACGAACGCGCAAACUAAUAAAGUAAUAAUAAAUAGACAAGGAAUAGUAUUUGGUCUUGGACUGGUUUAGGUAUCAUCAUUGACCUACAAUGACUAACAAAUUCAGUUUUAAUCCGUAAAACUAACCACCGUUUAAUAAUUAAUUCGUUUUUUUAUUUUUAUUUUUAUAUUUUUGUGUUAAAAAUAGGAAAAAAAAAAACAUAGAAGAAAUGAGGGAUAUAGAAAGAAGGGGAUGAUGAGAGACAUACUUUCUUUAAUGGGAGUAUAACGUAUUGUCACGUAGUUUUAAUCACUGAUCCCAUACCAUGUAAAUGGUUUGUCGACACAUUUUCAUAUAAUGAUAAAAUGAAUGAACAAAAUAGAGUUAUAUUCAAAUGAUAUGGAUAAUGAGUUGAGUUGAUUGAUCAUACAGUUUGGUUAACUAACUAGUACUAAGAUUUAGUAAUAUUUUUCUCUAAUUGAGAGAUCUUAUAUUCGAAUGAUAUGGAUAACGAGCACAUAUUGUAUUUGUUUCAGUCCAAUACGUAAUUAGUAUCUGACCCAAUGUAUGAUCUAACCCAAUACCAAUUUCCAUUUUAAAGUAGAAUAUAUCGUUGUUACAGCUGUUUGAUUGGCAGUGCAUGCCUACUAGUUAAUCAACAUGAUCCAUAAGUUACGCAUCCUAUAUGAGUGAUGGCGAAGCCAGAACAAGAGAAUUGAUAAAGUGCCAUGGGAGAUCAACUAGAAGGUUGACCAGUAGUCGCAUGAUUUUGAAUUUGGACAAACAAGCCACACAGAUAACUGAGGUUGCGCCAUGUGUAUAGACUUGAAGCGUGAUAGACUGGGCGGGCUGCCGUGAAGGACGGGAGAAAUAAUAUAUAUGUACAUAUGAAAAGUUAAAAGAAGCAAACCUCCCGAUGGUUGAUCAAAACAUAUGGAACAAUCUUCGGCAAAGCAUCAGCAAGGAUCUGAAUGGUCUCUAGGCCCGGUAAAAUAUAAGCAUAACUUUAGAAAAGGAAUAGAAGGGAAAGGCAGUUCCAAAGCUUCUAAAAAAUCAUUCUAUGUUCUAUUAUUCAAAAUUUAGAUGGGUAUCCCAUCCAAAACGAAAAGAAAAAGGGAUGUGCCACCGUAGAUAUCAAAAGAAGAGCCAACCCUGGAAGAAAAAAAAACAUGUCUAAUCCGGUCCUCCUAUAAAGGCAUUGAUGCAAUAAAAGAAAUGUAGAAGAAACUUGCCAUUUGUUGGAUAUUUGUCAACAAUCUGUGAUAAUUUAUAUAUGCUAAUAAAUAAUAAAUGCAAUAAGAAUUAACAGAAUAUAAACUAGAAUACGAAUUAUAAAAACAGACAACUUGAAGAUCGAGGCUUGUGUACCGCAAUGUCCUUGAAACAGAAAUUUCGUUCCUACUCUGUGUUUGUAGUUCUAUGGACGUCUGCUUUACCAGGAUUCAACGAUCAAGUUAAAAUUCCAGCAUCGAAAAUUUUAACUUCUGGCGAAUUUAGUGUGGUUCUCUCAGUAAGAAGGUUUAGGAAUGUAGAGGAUAAAGUUGAUUAUUUUCUGUGUUCUAAAUGCCAUGCAAAUGGAUGUAUAUAUAGCAGAUGGAUGCCUGUUUGCAACAGGUAUGAGAAUGGAGUGUGACUGUUGGGAGACAUCUCUUCAAAGGGAUGCUUUGCUCUGUGUUCAGAAAGAACUCUCAGACUUCAUCUGAAAUGAUGAGUCUUUUCAUAAAAAAUAAUUAAUUAAUUAAAUUCGAAUUUAAUUAAAAUAUUUAAUUAAAUCCGAAAAAUAAUUAAUUAAAUAAUUUAAUUAUUAGAGCCCGAGUUCAAGGCCCAUCUUUUGAUAAUUAAUUAUAUAUUAAUUACUAAUUAAUUAAUACACCCCAAAGCCUAUAUUAAUUACCAAUUAAUUAAUACAUCCCAAAGCUCAACUUCAAAGGUGAGCCCAAUUUUAGUCUCCAGAUCUAUUACUCCAAUCACUUUUUAUAAAAGACAAAACCUUAUAAAGUGAUAAAAUCUUUUAGGAAUGACCAAUGUGAGACAAAGAAAUUUUUACUCAAACUACUCAAAGUUCCAACAAUACCCCACAUUUGAGUUGAAAUUUCAUUCAAACUCCAACACCCUUUUCUCGGAAACAUUUUCAGGACUAAGAUUCUCUGACGUUAGAUGUAGGCUCCUGCCUAAUGAUGGUUCAUCAUUUUGUUUGGAGACGCUAUCACCAGUCACCAAGGUACUACUAUGACUUAAAACACCGACAGAGACCUCAUGUGAAACUUCCUUCGGUUCAACUGUGUUAUCAUGAAAACUUUGAGCAGCCAGAGACUGAUCUUCCUUUUCCACAACUCUCGAUUCUACAUCAACUGGUGGGAUUACACUUUUAUCUUCAUCGACGGCAAUGACCUUUUCUUCCAUUUGCACAGACUCUUUUUCAAAAUUGGUGGUCUCUGAAAAAUCAUGAGCUUUUGUGGUUUUGGAUUUUAAACUUUCUAGUUCCAUCUGCAAUGAUAUAAUUUCUUCCUUAUCUUUCCAAGGACAGAGAUUGGAUUUGAUCAGCAUCAGCACCUCCCAUAUUCCUUCCAGAACGAUAUACAAUGCAGUGACUUCAGCUCUACAAUCAUUGAGCUCCUUUCUCUGGUGUUCCAACUUCCACCAAACUGAUCACGUACGAAGCUAUUUAGGUUGUAGUUGAAAAAGGGCCUAAGGGCCUAACAACCAUAGUUUAGGCAACCAUGCUGUUGCACUAACCACCAUAGUUUAUAGUUCAACAGUCGCCAUAUUAAAGCCUCUUUUGAUAUCUAAAAUUAUAUCGAAAUGGAUACACCGCUAAAUUUAGGUAAAAAUUUAUAUCCACCUAAAAUGUAAAAGAUCAAUUACUCAUAAAGAAAACUUAUGAGUUUCAAUCUCUCCAUAAUGUAGGAUUACAAAGAUGAAUUUCCUUCAUAACUAAUCCUCUCUAAUUCCCUCCAAAUAAAAAAUAUAACUACAGUUUCAGCAUCUUGCCGCAUAAGCAAGCAGGAUUGGCCAAGCUUAGCUAAGCACCAUCCAAAGAAAGUAAACUACAAAUAAUACGAAGUGACUACAAAUCCUAGCAAACACAACCCAAAUUCACAUAGAUCAGCAAAUCCCAAUUACAUUUAGCGUCCUUCAUUAAUCAUUGUCAUUGUAGCGUCAUUAUUCGAAGGCUGUGGUUGAGGAUGAGAGACUGAGUUUUGGAUUGUGAAUAGAGGCUGUUUAGGUUGUGGACCACCAAUUACAUUUGUGGAACCAUUUAGCAUAAAAAUUACAUCCGGCAUGCUCGGCCUAUCCGUCGGAUUGUCCUGUACACAAAGCAGCCCUAUAUGCACACAUUUCAUUACUUCUGGAGCCGAAUAUGAAUCAGCCGCCAACAUUUCAUCUACCAACUCCAAUUCCCUGCCUUCCUUCCAUAACUGCCAUGCAUAGGCUAGUAAGCCUAGCUGUCGAUCAUAGAUAAAGAAGGCAGUAUUCUUCUUGCUGCUAAUAAUCUCCAAUACCAAGACCCCAAAGCUAUAGACAUCAGAUUUUUGAGAAAAUAUUCCACCCAUGGCAUACUCUGGAGAUAUAUAUCCACUGCGCGAACAUGAAACUCAUUAGUAUAUAUAUCGCUGAAAUAAGUGCUUGGUUUCUGCCUUUUAAGAACAACAUUACCAAAACUAUAUCUAAUGUGAACGAUGCAACUAAUUAGCAGUUUUUAUCCAAAACAGGAGUCGGUUAAGAGUUCAUGAAUCAUGAUGCAAUGCUAACCAUUAGAACUUUGGUUGCGUAUGACAUGUUCAAGAAUAUAUAGGAAAGGCAUGAAUCUUACCGCGUUCCCACAAUUCUCUGAGUAUUUUCUAAAUUCUGUGUCCCUUCAACCACACGUGCCAAUCCAAAAUCUGAAAUUUUUGGGUUCAUUUUCUCAUCCAAGAGAAUGUUGCUCACUUUUAGAUCUCUAUGUAUUACCUUCAAAUAGGAAUCAUGAUGGAGAUAAACAAGCCCUCUAGCAACACCUUGAAUAAUAUUGAAACGUGUACCCCAAUCAAGCACUGCUCUUCUCGUCGAAUCUGAUCAUCAAAUAAUCAAUCAAUACACCGGCUAGAAUGUAAAGAUAAGAAACUGCAGUAAAGUGCAAGUGAAACUAACCGAAAAGAAAAGUAUCCAAGCUUUUGUUUGGCAUGAACUCAUAAAUCAGUAACUUCUCGUCCUCUUUAACGCAGCAACCCAUGAUUCUGACAAGAUUUUUGUGUUGGAGAUUGGAGAUCAACAACAUUUCAUUCUUGAACUCUACUACACCUUGUCCUGAGGUACUGGAUAGUCUUUUUACCGCUAUUUCCUUCCCUUCUGCUAGCUUACCCUACACAAAGUCGACAAAUGAAUCACUGCAUUCAUGUCUGGCUCUCUGUAUCUAUCAUAAAAAUAAGGGUAAAUUACACAAAACUACCACAAUUAUAGGUUGCACCACAAUUUCAUACUUCAUAUUUUAAACGUUACAAUGUCAUACCUCAUCUUACGAAUUAAUUGCAAUGUUAAACCUCCAUUAACCACUCUUUCAAAUUAACCGUUGAUAACGUGGCAAAUAUAGGACCCAUAUCUUACUGACGUGGCAGUCAAUUGUGCCACUUAGAUAAAUACUAAAUUAUAAAAUUAAUUAUUUUAAAAUGAACAUAAAUUUUUAAUCAAAAAAAUAUAUAAAAAGAGUGGGUCCACCCCUUCAAUCCUACCACCCAUCUGAUGCUGCGCUGCUUCUAAAUCACCAUCUCUCCCCACCCUCCGCCGCCUAUGGGAGGCAAAGGCAAAGGGAAAAACAAAGGGGAUUGCAGCAGAUGCGAGGGAACUCGUCAGGGUUGGUGGACGCCCAGGUAUCGAUGUCGUCGGAGCCGAUGUAGGUGCAGCGUCGCCAGACCCAGCGCAUACAGCCCAACACCAUCACCGACAACGCUUUUUGACUGAUGUUGGGUUUUUGCCAGAAUUAAAGAUCGAAGAUUUUUGAAAUGAAAAUUGCAGAGUCUUCCUUGAUAGAGAGAGAUGGAGAAGAGAAGAAUGGGGGAAGAGAGAGAAAGUAGGAGAGGAAAGGGAAGAAGUUUAACAGGAUGAGGAUGAAAGGGACUGUGCACAUUUCGCUCGUAUCUUCUGCAAUCAUAUCAUCCUAAACCAAAUCCAAAAAAUCAUACCAUCCCCAACCAAACCCAGAAAAUCACCGAACAGACCAUAUCAAAGUUUUCUGAAAAAGAACAAGAAAAUCACCCAAAAAAAACAAAGAGAAGUUCAAAAAAAUACAUAAAAGAGGGAUAACAUGCGCUCCAUUAAAGAGAAGCAAAAAAAUCAAAUACCAUCCCAUUUCAAACCCAAACCCAUAAAUCUAUUUCCAAGUUCCAAACCAAAUAAGGCCAACAAAAAUAUCAAAUCAGUCCACAUCCCCACCCUCCCAUGUCUCCUCCACAUUUUCUUUCCAGCCAAUUUCGCCCUCACCUCACUCUCUUCCCGGCCCACCACUCAUAGAUCCGACCCACCCACCACGGCAUGAGGGGAUUUCACGGGGUAUGGGGUUUCAAUGACAGUGGAAACGGAGAGAAAGAAGAAGGCGCGCGGGAGGUGGAGUGGUCGAAGGUGGGGAUCGAGGGUGUCGGAGUGAAAGUGGAAACGAAGGUGGGGAUGUAGGGCCAAAUUGAUUUUUUCUUUUUUUUUUUAAUAAAUUUCUUAUUAGUUUCAAAUACUAUAAAUAAUAACAAUUUUUUAUUAGUUUCUUGUUCUCUUGGCACCAACUUAAUAUCCAUAUCAGCAAAAAUAUGUGCCUUAGAAUUAAUAUGUCAGCAUUUAACAGAAAAAUUGACAAAAAAGUUGACGGAUAGCUGAAAUUACAAUGAAUACGAAGUUGAUGUAUAACAUUGCAAUGUUUAAAAAAUAAGAUAUAAGUUUGUUAUGUGACUCAAAGUUAAAGGAGUACAAUGUAAUUUAUCCUAAAAAUAAUAAUAAUAGUAAUUACCUUAUAAACUGGACCAAAUCCUCCUUGCCCAAGUUUGUUUUCUGUGCUGAAAUUGUCCGUAGCAACUAAUAUGGUUUCAAAAUCAUAGAUCAGUAGCUCAUCAUGUUUUCCUCCUAUAUAUUCUUGUAGGGUGUCCCUUGUUAAUUUGAUUUCUCCUGAUUUUGCAAAUAUAAAUAUCGAACAAUGAAUCCAAGUGAAACAACUAACAAAGUUUUGAGAGAUAAUAUGCUAAUGCAUUAUAUUAAUCCAACACCUCGAUCUCUUUCACUUAAUUACCUUUUUGCUUAGCUCUCAUCCUGCACAAACCGAACACUAUGGCACCCAAUACACCGAUAAAACAAACAACUGUAAGGCUCACAAUUAACUUUAUUGGCUUUCCUUUACCUGAAAAAUUUACACUACAAAAACAAGCAUGAGAUAUAUAGAAAAAGAAAAGUUACUGCUUGAUAAUUAGAGUUUUCCAAGGCUUCAAGCACUUUUGAACAAGAAAAAAAGGCUUCAAGCACUAGUAUCAUUAGUUCAUCUGCUAGUUCUGUGCGUGCUAGGCCAAUAUAAACCUCUACGCCGUCAGAGGGAAACUCCUGCAUAUGAAUGAGGUGUUUGGACCAGACCAAACACCUUGUUUUAUAAAAAAAUGCAUAUGCUUGGUAAGAACAAUUAUUUAGGCGCACUGUCUUGCAGUCGGCGGAUGUGCUGUCAGAAUCCAAAGACACAAACUCAUGAGAAUCUGGUACUUUGAACCCUACCAGCUUCAGAAACCCAUCAUCAUCAUCUUCUUUUCCUCUCAAUGUGACUGACUUAUUUGUCUCUCUCACAAAACAAUUUGGUUUCACUCACACACCCUCCCGUCCAGUUUCCUCUGCUCCAUUUCCCGUCUGACUUGGGUACAAACAUGUUGAAUCCCACAUCGGCUAGAGGGAAAGAAGAAAAGCAAUUUAAAUAAAAUUACCCCACUCUAGCUAAUACUGAGGCUUUUUGUGAUAAAUUUCACACCUGACGGAUUGGGCAAGUGGUAAAGUGGGAACAGUAUCAGUGUUGGUAGAGUGAGGCCCUUGGCCAGUCGAAUUAAAGAAUUCAACAUGGUAUAAGAGCCAAGGGACGGGCUUGUACCACCACGUGAUUGGGUGGGUUCCCAUUGACCCCGUGCGAUGGGGGAGUCCUGACUUGGCUCCACGUGGUUGUCGAUGUGUGGAUCUCCACGUGUGACCCACAAAAUGGGGUCUCACGCGCUGAGAUGUGUUGAAUCCCACAUUGGCCAGAGGGAAAGAAAAAAAACAAUUUAAAUAGAAUUAGCCCACUCUAACUAAUAUGCACCUGAUGGAUUGGACAUGUGGUAAAGUGGUGACGGUGUUGGUGGAGUGGGGCCCUCGGUCCGCCAACCUGAAAAAUUCAACAAAAGCCUUUCAAGCACUUCAACAAAAUGGGGUCUCACGUGUGGGGGCGUGUUAAAUCCCACAUCGGCUAGAGAGAGGGAAAGAAGAAAAACAAUUUAAAUAGAAUUAGCCCACUCUAGCUAAUACUAAGGCCUUUUGUGAUAAAACUUCGCACCUGAUGAAUUGGGCAUGUUGUAAACUGGGGACGGUGUUGGUGAAGUGGAACCCUCGGCCAGUCGACCUGAAAAAUUCAACAAAACCCUUUCAAGCACUUGCAGAUUGAUGAUCCAGAAGCUUUGCAAACUCCAAAAGGUCCACAGCUCCAUAAUUGUCACAUUCUUUAUAUUGUGGUUGGGAGUAGACAUACCAUCUAGGCAGAAUAUAAUGACGUAGUCAGGUUCGCCACUACAGGUGAAUGUGCUGUUUUUAUCAUCAUAAGCGUAGCUAUAAGCUUGAGGGCACUGCUUCUCAAAGAUCUCAGAGUACUCAGUGGGAGGACAUGUCCUCGGCUGAUCAUUCGGCGGAGUGCAGCAGUACUUCGGCUCGCCGUAUGCCACACAAGCGCUUUUGCAACUGAUGACACUCUUAUCAGCCGCUUUCACUUGUAACUCAGUCGGGCAUGCCGCGUUAACAUUCGCAGGGCAAGUCGAGGCCAUGCACUCGCCGGUGCCGCCUUGUGGGGCGACAAAUAUGGGCAAGUUAAAACCGUCAACAAGGCUAACAUCGUAAAAAUCUUGACCCCCAUUUUCUGCGAUUGUGAUUUCUACUAAAGUUGCUGGUGGAACUGGGGUUGUGCCGUUGCAUGCAACCUGGCCAGAGCCACAGUCUGCAGUUUCACAACUGAAUUUUCCAGCGGCAUUUGUGGCGCAUCUGGUUCGGGCCCAGAAACGACCAGACCAAGAGGAUGGAACGUUCACUGACCGGCUAAUUUUGGAUGCUAGUUCGAACCCGGUGAGUGAUAAUUGAGGUUUUUGGUUACCGGUUACGGUUCCUGGCCAGACAGUGUUGGGGCAGUUGUUUGUGAAAGUGAUUUUCGCUGCAUGUGCACCUGCAUUUAUAUUCAACAUAAAACUAGAUGCUAAGAAUAUUGAAAUCUAAAUACAAUUGUAAAAUAUAUCAAAUUAAAAAUAAAUAAAGGGUAAUGGUAGGGAGACAAAAUUUAUAAACUAAAUGAUGUGUCACCAAUAUGAAUGAACACGUUUAUUAACGCUUAAGUAAUACACCAAUCAUCAACUUCCAUGUCCUUUAGUUUCCAAAAUUUUGUCUACAAAUUUAGUCUCCCCAGCAUUACCCAUAAAUAAAUAAACGAUUUGAAAUCAUAUUAAGAACUUUUUCAUAACUAAUCAGUAAUUUUAUUAUGGGAGACUUUGUAUGCGGUCCUUAGUUAUGAAUAUUCUUUGAUUGAAAUCUUGUUGGUUUUUAAUUUUUGAUCGAGGUCCUUGAAAAUAAUGUGAUAAUUUAUUUCAAUGUACGUUACUAUAUUUUUUAAAUUAAAAAUUAGAAAUUUUAGUUGUUUAUAUAAAUGAGAUUUUAAAUAAAAAAACAUAAUUUGUGGGAUUAAAAAUAUUAAAAUAUAAAUAUACUAUUGUGUGUGUGUAUAUAUAUACAUGGGUACAUUCAUCAAAAAAUAACCAAAAAAUUUAUUGUAUCAAAAUAUGGGUACAUUCUUCAAAAUCACAAAAAAAAGAAAAGAUAUUAGGCUUAAUAACAUUGGUAAAUUUCUUCGAUUAAACUUGACAUGGAUACAUUUUAAAAUUAAAGAAAAAAGAAUGUACCCAUAUAAGUUUAAAAAUAGAUUAUAAAAAAAAUUGAAUAGAUUUUAUAUAUAAAAAAAAGGGUACAUUUUGCAUAUAACAAAUUGAUAUAUUUAAGAAUGAGUACAUUUUAAGAUUAAAAAGUUUUACAUGAAUGGGUGCAUAUAAUUAGCAUGGGUACAUUUAGCAAAAUAAAAAGUACAGAUAAAAAAAAUAUAUGGGUACAAAUUAAAACUGAAAAGAAAAUUGGCACAAGUUAAAAAAGAAUUACAAAUUAAAAAUGGGUACAAACUAAAACUAAAAAUAUAUGAUAAAAAAUUUAGUCAUAAAUAUAAAUAUACUAAUUGUAACAUUUUUAACAUUAAAUGAAUAUAUUUAGAAAUAAAAAACUAUUUUAUUAUUGAAAUAAUUAAUGAUGUUAUUAAUACCCAAGGACCUUGAUCAAAAAUUAAAAAGUAAUAGGAUUUUAAUCAAUGGAGUAGCAAAAGGAAUGAUGAGAACUUAAUUUCUCUUUUUAUUAUAAAUAUAAUUUGAUGAUGAUUCAUCUAAUCUCAUGCCCUCAUCACCGCAUUGGCAGGGCUCACUUCCAUGUAUCCACAUUGCUCAUCAUCGAUCGUUAUUCUCUUUUAGACUCCCUACUGUUGCUUUUAACGUUGUUACAAUGUAAAGCGUAAUAAGGGUAAUAUUGUAAACAAAUCUACGCAGGACAGUUGAGAUUGUUAUAAGGCAGUUCUAACAGUUUUUGUAAUUAGUUAGUGAUUAGUUAGACAAGAUGUAAUUAGUUGUUAAUACAAGUGAGUUAGUCACUAGUAUAUAUACAACAUGUAAUCUUAUUCCUUAUGAAAUGAAAGCAUAAUUUUCCUAUUAUGGUAUCUCUCGCCCGUGCCUAACGACCUUUCUAUCCUCCUUUCUUCCGCUUCCCACUUGUCUUCCUCUUUGAAGCUCCAAACCUUAGAAAUCCAGCCAUGGCGACCUCUGGAUCUCCCUCCUUUGAAUCUGCUUCUCAAAUUCAUCAUGCUCCUAUGAAUUCUUGCCCUAAUACUCCUCAGGCAAUUUCUUCGAUUACGAUCCAGAAUAUUUGAUCUAUGGAUCUAAUUAAGCUCACCACAACGAACUAUCUCACACGAAGUGUAAAACGUGAGUCAAUAUUCACGGAAAGGAAAAAAAGGAAUGUAAAUAGGGUAAAUAUUGGGAGUCCUUUACUAGGUAGGAUAUUGUAUAUACCCUUUAUUAUUUGUUUCCUUAUAUAUCAAGGAUUGUAUAUGUAUAUAUUUCAAAAGAAGUAAUACAAGAAAUCAUUCCCGUAAGAUUCUUUUUGGCAUCUGAGCCUGGUUGUCGUAACCCUAAUCGUAAAAGGUUUUCCGCUGCUACUCUUUCUGCAAGAGUCGUAUCUGCUCUUGCCGUGGACAGUCGUGAAAGUUUCAGGGGCUGUUUUUUUGCCUCUCAUUGUGCUGUGCCAAAUUCUUUUGCUGCUGCCGUGACUUUCAUUCUUGUUUGUAAGUCAAGAUGGCGAAUAAAGGAGAUGAUUCAAUCUUAAAGUUGGAAGGUGGUUCCCACAAACCAACCAACAAUACGGUAUUGAGUCCUGUUGUUAUUCAGAACGAUGCAUCUGCUGUACCGAGCACUGUGAAGUUGAAUGGACAAAUUAUCUUCUUUGGUCCAAAGUAUUGGAGAUCCAUAUUGUUGGACGUGGUAGAAAUGGCUUUGUGACAGGGAAUACUAAGGAACCUGCUGAGGAUAAUGUUGAGUAUGAGAUGUGGGAGACAGGGAAUGCAAUAGUAAAAGGGUGGUUGAUUAAUUCCAUGGAACCUGCUAUCAUGGGAUUUUUUAUUCACCUGCGUACUGCUAAAGAAGUUUGGGAGGAGGUGGCUCGGACCUAUUAUGAUGGUUCAGAUAUCUCUCAAAUUUAUGAAUUGAAGGUUAAGUCGUUCAGGCUUCGUCAAGAGAGUAGGCCGGUUGGUGUGUAUUAUGCUGACCUCAAGUCCGUUUGGCAGGAGCUAGAUCAACGAAGACCAAUUAAGAUGGAUUGUGCUGCUGAUUUUAAGACACUUCGAGAAGAAAUUCAAAUUGAUCGUGUGUAUGCUUUUUUGGCGGGUUUGGAUGACAUCUUUGAUAAAGUACGCAGUGAUAUUCUACGUACUCAACUGUUACCAUCUGUCAAGGAAGUGUUUUCUAUUGUUAGGCGUGAAGCACAACGACAUGCCACUAUGAUGGGUGGGAGUAACAACCAAGGGGGGCUGCCAUCCAUGGCCAUGGUCUCUCGACCACUUGCAACUUCCCGUCCUAAUAAUUCUUCUAAUCAGUCUUUUAAUUCUCGUUCCUUUACCCGAGAAAACAAAGAUGAUUUGAAGUGUACUUUAUGUGGUCAAAACCGCCAUACUGAAGAUACAUGUUUUACCAAGCAUGGGGUACCUGAUUGGUUUCCAAAAUUUAAGAAAAAAUUGUGUGCCAAGGAACGUGGAGCAGCUGGGUCCAGUGGAGGCCGUGCCUCCCUUGCCGCAGCAAUACCAACAUCACAGGAGGCCGGGGCUAGCUCAGGUGAUCCUAGUCAAACUUUGUUGACUCGUGCUACUCCUGGUGAUUCGUCCUCCAACACAAGUACUAUAGGACGUGUCCUCUUAGUCUCCGAGAGUGAGCAACAUACAGGUUGGAUUCUUGAUUCUGGUGCAACCGAUCAUAUGACAUAUGAUAAAAAUAUGUUUCAAUAUAUGACAAUGUCUCACAGGAAAAGCAUAGCAACUGCCAAUGGGACUCUUUGUACCCGUGUAUGGCACCGGCACUGUGCAACUUUCCCCAUCUCUCCCAUUACAUUGUUGCUUAUUUGUUCCGUCUUUAUCCCAUCAUUUAUUAUCAAUACCACAAGUUACUGAACAAUUGGAUUGUGUUGUUCUAAUGUAUCCGUCCUUUUGUCUACUUCAGGAUAUUCAGACCAAGGAGAUAAUUGGGCGUGGCACUAAGAGAAAGGGGUUGUACUAUGUGGAUGACGUUGUUCCAGGCAGGGCUAAUGCGGUUCGAACAUCACAUACUAGUAAUUUGCAAGAAGUAUGGUUAUUACAUCGUCGGUUAGGGCAUGCAUCUUUUGGCUAUUUACGGCGUAUGUUGCCUAUUCUAUUUAGUAGAAUAAAUGAAUCAGACUUACAUUGUGAAGUAUGUAUUCUUGCUCAAAGCCAUCGUGCUUCGUUUCCUCCUAGUAUAAAUAAAAGGUCUUUGCCAUUUGAACUUGUGCACUCUGAUGUUUGGGGGCCUUCUCCAGUUGUUGUUUCUUCUGGAUUAAAAUGGUUUGUUGCAUUUGUUGAUGAUUGCACUCGAAUGACUUGGCUGUAUGUGUUGAAAAAUAAAAGUGAUGUUGGUAUGGUCUUUCGUUCUUUCUCUCAUCUGAUUCGGACACAAUAUUCAUCUGUGAUUAAAGUACUACGUUCUGACAAUGGUGGUGAGUACAUUAAUUUUGAGUUGUCAGAGUUUCUUCGUGAUCACGGCAUCGUCCAUGAAACGACUUGUCCUUAUACCCCACAACAAAAUGGGGUUGCUGAACGGAAAAACCGCCAAAUCUUAGAAACAACACGUGCUCUUAUGCUUGGAGCUUCUGUUCCUAAGGUUUUUUGGCCUGAAGCUGUCACUUAUGCUGUAUAUGUGAUUAACCGUAUGCCAUCUCGGGUUCUGGAAUUUCAAACACCUUUUCAAGUCCUCACUCAACAUGCUCCAGUAGUGUCGACUCAUACUCUCACUCCUCGAGUAUUUGGGUGUGUAGCUUAUGUGCAUAUUCAGAAAAUUCAUCGUACAAAGUUGGAUCCGUGUGCCCUAUGGUGUGUGUUUGUGGGUUUCUCCCCUAACCAAAAAGGCUAUAAAUGUUAUCACCCUGAGACUCGGCAUAUGUAUGUAACCAUGGAUGUGACUUUUUCAGAAUUGGAGUCUUUUUAUCCUUCCGUGCAUUUAUCUUCAGAUCACCAGGGGGAGAACACUAUUGGUGAUCUGGGGUGGUUAGACACUAUUUCAGAUAAUAUUAGCAUCGAAUCUGCUACUGAACUGGUUUCUGCUAAUAAACCAGAUUUUGCCGAGAGUACUGAUAUUGAAGUUGCAGCCGAGCAUCAGGUGGUGGUUCCUACCGAGGAAUCUAAUAUAUAGGAAUCUGCCGAACAGCCAAGACAGAGUUCUGCAGAUCACAGUAUACAAUUGCAACAGUCACAUGCCGAGUCUACUAAUGUACUUUCUCCUCUCUCUAGCUCCAAAGUGCCACCCAAUUCAUCUUCUUUGAAUAUACCUGAGGUAAGUAUUGUGAAUGAUUAUGAAAUUAAUUCAAGUGAUAAUGUAAAUGCUUAUAGGUUGCCACCAAGACAAAAUCGAGGUGUGCCACAUGAUAGAUUUUCUCUAGAAGGGAAGGUGAGGUAUCCAAUAGCCAACUAUGUCUCAUGUAGUGGCCUUGCACCGGAACGCCAAACCUUGGUGAACAAUAUGGAGUCAAUUCAAAUACCAACUCGAGUGGAGGAAGCUCUAAAGGAUCCAAAGUGGGCAAAAGCAAUGGAUGAGGAAAUGUUGGCAUUACAAAAAAAUGAUACUUGGGAGGUGAUGUGUUUACCCAAGGGAAAAAGGACUGUUGGAUGUCAGUGGGUGUUUACAAUCAAAUACAAAGCCGAUGGAUCGAUAGACAGGUACAAAGCAAGGUUGGUAGCUAAAGGGUACACUCAAACAUAUGGUGUAGAUUACCAAGAAACUUUCUCUCCGGUUGCCAAGAUGAAUACGGUAUGUGUUUUGAUUUCUUUAGUUGCAAAUAUGGACUGGCCAUUAAAACAGUUUGAUGUGAAAAAUGCUUUUCUCCAUGGAAAUUUGGAGGAAGAAGUAUAUAUGGAUUUUCCUCCUAGGUAUAGUGCUUAUGGGAAUACCAGAGUAUGUCGGUUGCGUAAGUCACUUUAUGGACUUAAGCAAUCACCUCGUGCGUGGUUUGACAGGUUUACCCAAGUUAUGAAAAAACAUGGGUAUCGUCAGAGUCAUUCUGAUCACACAUUGUUUGUUAAACGGAGACAAAGUAAAGUGACAGCCUUGAUUAUCUAUGUAGAUGACAUGAUUAUUACUGGAGAUGAUCAUGAUGAGAUUUUAAGGUUGUAGAAUAAUCUGGCAGCAGAGUUCGAAAUGAAAAACCUAGGAGACUUGAAGUAUUUCCUUGGGGUUGAAGUUGCUCGAUCUUCAAAAGGUAUUUUCUUGUCUCAACGUAAGUAUGUUCUGGAUUUAUUAAAAGAAAUUGGUAUGCUAGGGUGUAAGCCGGUAGACACUCCGAUUGUUGAAAAGCAUCAUCUAUGUUUGGAUCCAAAUCAGAAAUCAGUUGAUAAAGGGAGAUAUCGGAGACUUGUAGGGAGACUAAUUUAUUUGGCUCAUACACGUCCAGAUAUUGCCUAUGUUGUAAGUGUGGUAAGUCAAUUUAUGCAUUCACCGAGUGUGGAUCAUAUGACUGCUGUUAUGCGUAUCUUAGCAUAUUUGAAGUUUGCACCAGGUAAAGGAGUUCUGUAUAGGAAGCACGGGCAUUUGACAAUUGAGGGAUUCACGGAUGCUGAUUGGGCAGGGAAUGUCAGUGAUAAAAGGUCUACUUCUGGGUAUUUUACUUUCGUAGGAGGGAAUUUGGUUACAUGGCGAAGUAAGAAAUAGAAGGUAGUAUCACGAUCUUCAGCAGAGGCUGAGUAUAGGGGCAUGGCCCACGACAUUUGUGAAAUUCUUUGGCUUAGAAAACUUCUUUAGGGUCUUGGGUUCAAGCCAAAGGAGACCAUGAAGCUAUAUUGUGAUAACAAGUCAGCAAGAAAUAUAGCUGAUAAUCCAGUGCAGCAUGAUAGAACAAAACAUGUGGAGGUUGAUCGAUAUUUCAUUAAAGAGAAGCUCGAGAAGAAGAUUGUGUCUAUACCAUUUGUGAAUUCGGAGGAGCAACUUGCAGAUGUUCUUACUCAUGCCGUAUGUAGUCGUAAGUUUGAUGACUCACUUAUCAAGUUGGGCAUGUGUGACAUCUAUGCACCAACUUGAAGGGGAGUGUAAAACGUGAGUCAAUAUUCACGGAAAGGAAAAAAAGGAAUGUAAAUAGGGUAAAUAUUGGGAGUCCUUUACUAGGUAGGAUAUUGUAUAUACCCUUUAUUAUUUGUUUCCUUAUAGAUCAAAGAUUGUAUAUGUAUAUAUUUCAAAAGAAGUAAUACAAGAAAUCAUUCCCGUAAGAUUCUUUUUGAAGUGCAUUGUUUGCUUCUAUCUUCCGCCGAUACAAUCUCAUUGGAAUUAUUGACGGCACGAUGACUGCUCCGCCCAAAUCUCUUCUUGAUUCGUCUGGAAAUCGUACCUCUACUCUUAAUCCUCAGUAUGUGACAUGGUUCGAAAAUGAUCCUAACAUUUUGAUUUGGAUCAAUUCUACACUCUCAAAUUCUCACAUUCCAUACACUGUUGGAGUCAACACCUCUCUAAUAUUUGCAUCCGGCAGGCAUGCAUAUUAUAGACUAAUACGAAACAAAAUAGAAAAGAAAUUAAUAAGAAGUUUGUAUAAUAAUACCUGAGAAGAAGAGGAUGGCCAUGGUGAGGCCGAGAAGGGAAUCGACUUGGCUCUUCAUCAUCGUCGUUGAAUAUAUCUUAAUUGCCUGCUUGUUGCUAAUUAGUUUGAACUUAUGAUUUCAUGAUAAACUUAGGAGCCAAGGGGGGCUGUACAUAGGCUUAUAGCGUGGCCCAACCUGUUUGAUCUUUUGCAUGAGUGGUAAUUGCGGGUCUAAGUUCGACGCUGACUAUUAAUACGAACGCGCAAACUAAUAAAGUAAUAAUAAAUAGACAAGGAAUAGUAUUUGGUCUUGGACUGGUUUAGGUAUCAUCAUUGACCUACAAUGACUAACAAAUUCAGUUUUAAUCCGUAAAAAUUUUUAUUUUUUUAUUUUUGUGUUAAAAAUAGGAAAAAAAAAACACAUAGAAGAAUGAGGGAUAUAGAAAGAAGGGGAUGAUGAGAGACAUACUUUAUUUAAUGGGAGUAUAACGUAUUGUCACACAGUUUUAAAUUUAAUCACUGAUCCAAUACCUUGUAAAUGGUUUGCCGACACAUUUUCAUAUAAUGAUAAAGUGAAUGAACAAAAUAGAGUUAUAUUCGAAUGAUAUGGAUAAUGAGUUGAGUUGAUUGAUCAUACAGUCUGGUUAACUAACUAGUACUAAAGCUUAGUAAUAUUUUUCUUUAAUUGAGAGAUCUUAUAUUCGAAUGAUAUGAAUAACGAGGGCGCAUUGUAUUUAUUUGAGUCCAAUAUGUAAUUAGUGGCUGACCCGAUGUAUGGUCUAACCCAAUACCAAUUUCCAUUUUAAAGUAGAAUAUAUCGUAGUUACAGCUGUUUGAUGGCAGUGCAUGCCUACUAGUUAAUCAACAUGAUCCAUAAGUCACGCAUCCUAUAUGAGUGAUGGCGAAGCCAGAACAUGAGAAUUGAUAAAGUGCCAUGGGAGAUCAACUAGAAGGUUGACUAGUUGUCGCAGGAUUUUGAAUUUGGACAAACAAGCCACACAGAUAACUGAGGUUGUGCCAUGUGUGUAGACUUGUAGCGUGAUAGACUGGGCGGGCUGCCGUGAAGGACGGGAUAAAUAAAUUUUUUUACCACUUAUAUAAAAUCUCGUUACGUAUCACUCUUGUUUUGAUCAUGAUGAAUAAUUUCCCGUGAAGGAAAUGGAACAAGCACUAGAAGACUUAAGUUGUCAUCUUCGAUUUUCCUCAUCCCAUCCAUUUUUAAUAGUGAAACUUGGUAUUACGAUAUAAUGGUAUUCCUCUUAUCAGUGAGAGGUCUUAGAUUCGAUUUUCAUCAAAAGAGGAUUUCAACCUGUUGACCCUAGAAACUACAAAGCCUACGUGGCGCGCAGGCCGAGUAAUCUAUAAGCUAACUACGUUCUUCGGUGAUUGCAGGGUGUGCCAACUCGUCGGCCGAGCUCGGCCGAUGAGUAAAUUUGUUGAUGUUGCGUUGGGUGCGCGGCUGACCUCUGCAACUUGCGAUUGCGGCCGAGAAAGGAACACGUCUCGGCCUCUUGGGCUCUCGAACCUGAAGACAAGGUUCCUAUUUUUACGAAGUUCAAUAUCAAAUUCGGUUUUCAACGUGCCGAAUGUAAUCACUUGUAACACAUCACUUCGCCGAGAAGGCUGAUGAGAUGACCUUGACCAACAAGGAUUCAGAAAUCCUUCUCGACCGAGACUUGGAUAGGUAAUCAAUCGUUCUCGCUGUAGUGUUGUUGAUGCCAACGGAAGAUACUGCGAGACCGACUGAUUCUACGGUGACAGAGCUAUCUAUGCCGACUUAAGAUAUCACCGGUUUCUUCCACAGUGCUGUUGAUGCCAACGGAAGAUGUGUCAGCGAACAAGGAAAAAGAAAAAUCACAAGUUGUGAGAAUUUGCGCAGGGCAAUUUUGUAUUGAUUUGCAGGGGUCCUUGAACGUUGCCUGCGACUCUGUAUUUAUAGUGACGAAUAUGCAUUGGUUGAUAAGCUGAAAAAGACUCCCAAACAAUUAAAACUCAUCUUAUCGAAUCCAAGAUAAUCUGCAAGCUUGGGUAACGUCCAUCUAAUCAACCACCCAAUAUAUAUAUAUAUAUAUAUAUAAAAAAAAGGUUGCACCUUUCCCAUGAAUUGGCAGACCUCAUGUCGUCAAUUAUAUAUAUAUAUAUAUAUAUAAAAGGUUGCACCUAAACCCUAUAUAUAUAUAUAUAAAAGGUUGCACCUUUCCCAUGAAUUGGCAGACCUCAUGUCGUCAAUUAUAUAUAUAUGGCUGAUAGCUUUUGACACGGCAUACAUGCCAUGUCCAUCAUCAAUUUACUUCAUCCGACAACACCCCUUAGGUCUCCUACCUCAUCCUCACCUCAUCCACAAUAGCCAUCAUCAUUCUGAUCAAACGAAUUUUAAAUUCAUCUUACUUCCUAGUGCUGACAGUGUUCCAAAUCAAUUUGAAUUGUACUGCUUAUUCGGGAUAUGAAUCGCAUUCUAUUUAUCUGGUUUAAGAAGAUACUGAGAUAAUUCAUAUUAAAAGAUAAUUAUAAUAUUAUCCUUUAAUAAUCAAAUUAUCUCUACUUUCUCAUCUAGCGGUCGAGAAUCAUGCCCACUCAACAGCCUCGAUCGCUUGGGCCGAUGAUGUAAAAUCGGGUCCAAACAUUGCCCCCCAGUUUCCUUGAGCUUCGGCUCGAAAGCCAGAUGGUCAAGGAAAUUAAUUGUCAACAUGACUUGAAACUAAGCAGAAUUCCCCACCUGCAACCACACAUUCAUAGGCUGAAGCUUAUUUACCCUUCUUCACGGCAAUGGCAUCCUUAUGUCAGCUAACUUUAUAUAUAUAUACAUAUAUAUAUAUAUACACACACACACAUGGCAAGCCGAAUGACCCUUUUUUUUUUUUUUUUUUUGCAUGGUCAAUUCGGCCAGAAGUUGCCUAGUCAAUUCGGCCAAAAGCUGCAUAUAUAUAUAUAUAUAUAUAUGUAUAUAAGUUUCGGCCGAGGCUUUGUUUGAUAAUGGGGCCGAGGCCGAGGCUUUUGUAAAGUAGCCGAGGCCGAGGCCAAAUCCGAGAAAAUUUUUUCUUUGUUUCUUUUUCCUUCUCGGCUAACUAAUAUAUAUAUAUAUAUAUAUAUAUAUAUUUGGAUUGCCGUACUGUUGUUGCCCCCCUUAUUUUCUUGGCAUCGGCUGAACAACCGAAUGGUUAAGAAAAUAAGUUAUUUAUUUAAUAAAAGAAAACAAAAGUGGCCGAACUAUAAAGUGGAGGGGGCCAACGAUGCUUUAUUCCGAGUCGAGAUCUUUUUGCAUCAAAAUUUUCAAAUUGAUUUCGCUCUGGGCCGAAUAAAGAAUUUUUCCCGAAUAUUUUUUACUCGGCAAAACAUUUUGCAUUUUCGUCCGCCGAAUGUGUGGAACAAUUAUUAUGCCCCUCAGGCAUAAUUUCGGCUUUUAAUUCAAACAACUUAGCCGAACAGGAUUUCUCCAAUUCGACUUUGUCGCCAAUAAUCAUAUCAAUUGGCGUAGUUUCUUGGGCUAGGCCAAUAUCUCGGCCUUGUUCGUCAUUGGAGCAUUCCUUUGACAAAUCAUUUUCCAAGUCAAUUUUUGUAUCUAGCUCAGGGACUUGAAUUUUUUCUUCUAGGCCUACCAUACUUUCAAUAUCGACCGAAACAACAAGUGGCCUAGGUUUUUCUUCGGCCGUCUCGACAAUUUUCUUAGGCCGAAUGUUGAUUGUGGCCGGAGUGGAAAUUUGCCCCCCGGCCUCUUGCUUUUUAGGAAUUCUUCUCAAACUCUCAAGGAGUUGUUUUUGCUUCUUUAAUAGGAGAUGACACUCUUCCCAUGAAGCCUGAUCGAGAUAAAUCAUGUGAACUUCGCAGUUUUAGCACUAGGUCCCACUGGGCGUGCCAAAAUGUUGACCCUAGAAACUACAAAGCUUACGUGGCGCGCAGGCCGAGUAAUCUAUAAGCUAACUACGUCCUUCGGUGAUUGCGGGGCGUGCCAACUCGUCGGCCGAGCUCGGCCGAGGAGUAAAUUUGUUGAUGUUGCGUUGGGUCGGCUGACCUCUGCGUCUUGCGAUUGCGGCCGAGAAAGGAACACGUCUCGGCCUCUUGGGCUUUCGAACCUGAAGACAAGGUUACUAUUAUUACGAAGUUCAAUAUCAAAUUCGGCUUUCAACGUGCCGAAUGUAAUCACUUGUAACACCUCACUUCGCCGAGAAGGCUGAUGAGAUGACCUCGACCAACAAGGAUUCAGAAAUCCUUCUCGACCGAGACUUGGAUAGGUAAUCAAUCGUUCUCGCUGCAGUGCUGUUGAUGUCAACGGAAGAUACUGCGAGAUCGACUGAUUCUACGGUGACAGAGCUAUCUAUGCCGACUUAAAAUAUCACCGGUUGCUUCCACAGUGCUGUUGAUGCCAACGGAAGAUGUGUCAGCGAACAAGGAAAAAGAAAAAUCACAAGUUGUGAGAAUUUGCGCAGGGCAAUUUUGUAUUGAUUUGCAGGGGUCCUUGAACGUUGCCUGCGACUCUGUAUUUAUAGUGACAAAUACGCAUUGGUUGUUAAGCUGAAAAAGACUCCCAAACAAUUAAAACUCAUCUUAUCGAAUCCAAGAUAAUCUGCAAGCUUGGGUAACGUCCCUCUAAUCAACCACCCAUAUAUAUAUAUAUAUAUAUAUAUAUAUAUAUAUAAAAGGUUGCACCUUUCCCAUGAAUUGGCAGACCUCAUGUCGUCAAUUAUAUAUAUAUAUAUAUAUAAAAGGUUGCACGUUUCCCAUGAAUUGGCAGACCUCAUGUCGUCAAUUAUAUAUAUAUAUAUGGCUGAUAGCUUUUGACACGGCAUACAUGCCAUGUCCAUCAUCAAUUUACUUCAUCCGACAACACCCCUUAGGUCUCCUACCUCAUCCUCACCUCAUCCACAAUAGCCAUCGUCAUUCUGAUCAAACGAAUUUUAAAUUCAUCUUACUUCCCAGUGCUGACAGUGUUCCAAAUCAAUUCGAAUUGUACUGCUUAUUCGGGAUAUGAAUCGCAUUCUAUUUAUCUGGUUUAAGAAGAUACCGGGAUAAUUCAUAUUAAAAGAUAAUUAUAAUAUUAUCCUUUAAUAAUCAAAUUAUCUCUACUUUCUCAUCUAGCGGUCGAGAAUCAUGCCCACUCCACGGCCUCGAUCGCUUGGGCCGAUGAUGUAAAAUCGGGUCCAAACAGAACCUUAUUAUUGUUAGUCAAUUGUGAGGCUAAACCGACUCUCUUCACUUAAUGUAAACAAUAUAAUUUGUUAAAAAUAAAUAAAUAAAAAAUAAAAAAAAGUAGCAACUUAGUCACUAUGUGACUUGGUCUGCAAAGGAAUUUUUUUUUUAAUUUUUUUCUUCAAACGGUCUGCAAAGUUAGUACAUAUUAUUCAUACCCUAUUACAGUUUUAUCUAAUUUUGUUUAAAUUUGUUUAGUAUUAAAAUUUUUAAGAUUGAAGGUUUUAGGGAUGACAUAUCAAGUCUUUCUCAUAAAUUCUACAAAUUAAUUUGACUUUUUGACAUUUUUCACUUCAUUAAAAAAGGUAAAUUGUCUCUCAUAUAUAAAGAGUGUUCCUACGCUUACUCCUCAAUGCUAUCUUUUCACCCACCUUAUAUUCUUACCCACCAUAAAAAAUUAAAAGCAUAUAAUACUCUCUUUACACCCACAAUUAUUCCUAGAAUGUCCUUGAUACAUUUUUCAACUAUUUUCCUACAAAAAAACAAAAAUUGAAAUUCAAAACCACGCCACCCGAUCCAAUCCGAUGGCAACCCCCUUCCCAUCUCUAGCCAACUUUUUCUCUCUGGAAAUUUGGAGGAAGAGAGGGCCUUGACAUGGCCCAUUUCAAUGGGAACGAGGAAAAUGAGAGACAUUCUCAGUCGAAUCGAUCGUCGUUUUCGGACUGGUAAAGACGAUUUGGGUUAAUUAAGGUUGAGUUUGUUUAUUAGUGGGUUCAAUUAAGAUGGAGAAAAGAAAAGACUAAGUUAGGGAUGAGACACCAAAACGGUGGAUGAUGGUUGCCGUCAUAUUGGAUGGGGUGGGUGUGGCUCUUCGCUUUCCUUCUAAUUUUCAAUUUUUGUCUUGUUUUUUCUUCUACUUUUAACAGAAGCAGCAACUAGAGCUAGUGUGUUGAUUGCAUCCACCAUUUUUUUUCAUAGCUUCUCAUAUCUUUUUCCUCAAAUCUCUCUUUGCUUUUUGGGACUUCUCCUCCAUAUUAAAGAUAACAAUGUUUUUUUUAAAUUGGAAACAAAAUGUUGAAUUUAUGUUAUUGGCCAUAAAAAAAUAUAAUAAUUAAUUUUGUUAGGAUUUCAAAAGUCGUUUUACAAAAGGUUAAAUAUGUCAUUAAAAUUUUCAAUAAUAAGUGGGUGGGAAAAUAAGGUUGAGGGGUGGGUAUAUUAUCAAAUUUCAAUUUGUAGGGAACAAAUUCCACAUGUCCGUAGAAUUACUUGAUAAAUUAGACCUGGCCAUACCGGUUUGGUGAUACUGGAUUUGUGAUUCAAUUGAAGAUAUACUUAUAUUAUGUAGUUUCAUUUUUAAUUACAGUCAGUUUUUUUCUAUUUUAAUUAUAAAACCCUCACCCCCUAUCAUAUUGUGUACGUUAUAAAAUGAAGAUUGAGAGACUAUAUGUAUGUAGUUAUUAGUAAGCCGUUAACUCGUCCUCUCAAACUUUCAUUGUAUUGCUUUUGUAACAUGCAUAUAUUGUAGAAUUAUAAAAGAGACGGGCUUCACUACUAACAACACUGAUAUUGUCCCUUAUUUGAUAAUUACCAUCAGCAUAAUCUGUCAGGUGUGAGUUUUAUCACAAAAAAUAUCGAUAUUAAUUGGAGUGGAGUUAAGAUAUUUAAACAUUUAUUUUUUAUUUUUAAAGAUAUGAUCCAUGUGAAAUAUUUCAACAUAUAUACUAAGCAAUAAAAUAAGAAGAAAAUGUAGAUUAUGCUUUAUGCGGUCGUAUGGUUUGGCAUGCAAAGAUGUGGAAGCUUAUAAUCCCCUUCGAUUUCUAAGACACAUCCGUAGAUCCAAACUUACAAAAUCUGUAUUAUUUUGUAUUUCAUGCCAAGACUGUCUUUGUAUGUUUUUGUCAUUAAACCUCACAAGUCACAAAAAUUUUCAUUCGGAAUCUUUCUAUUUUCACACUAUUUCGGGGAAGGAAAAAACCACAUUCUGAACAAAAAUAAAACAUGACAAAAGACUUCAAAAACUUUUUAUUGGCGAGUUUGAUAAGUCAUAAGUUAGAGUUUUUUUACUUUUCUUAACGUAUAUAAAUAUAUCGUUGUAUUAAGAAUAUAACCAAAAACUUAACGGAAUUUUUUUUUUGUGUGUGUUCGCGCCGCCCGGGGAAGGGGGGGGGGGGCGUUCACAGUAGAGUAAAGUUGAGCUCUGAAACAUGUACUAACUUAUGCAUAAUGCAGUAGUUUGUAUUGUACCCAAUUAAAAACUAUUUGACAAUGGUCGUAGAACUAAAACCCUUUAAGCAGAGGUGCUUCUUCAAACAAGCAUGAAGCAUGAAGGGAAAUCUAUGAGGAUGUGAAAGGUAAGGUCACACGAUAGAGAAAGAUCAAACUUCGCAAUGACUUAUAAAGAGUUAGAUCACACCUCUUAUUCUGAAUUGAUUUACCGGUAGAAUCUUAACUUCUUCUAGAAUCUCGAAAGCACGACCAAACAAACAUAUGAAUGGAACAUUUGAAAGCACCAGAGCCGAAAGAAUCAAUCUAAGCUCUAGCGCCAGAGUCUUAAAAGCCAAAAUUAGCUAACACAUUUGUAGUUAAGUUCGCUUCACCAUACAAACGCAUUAUAUAUAUGCUGAUGAGUGAUGACAAAAUAGAAUACAGAUGCCUGCAAUGCAUAUAAAGCACUACUCAUAUUAAUUAAUCUAUAUGGCCCUAAGUGAGAACUACGUACUAUUCAGUAUCUCAAAGAAAACCAAGAAUUAACUUUGAAGGCAAGUGGCAGAUUGUCUUAGAGCAUUCUCUUCAAUUUACUACGUUUCGGAUUUAAACUCUCUUACCUUUUAGUUUAGAUGAAUCUAAUGUAAAUUAUUCCAUCAUUUGGCGAAAUUUUUUGAAGAAGCAUAUGACCAGAUUUUUUAAAUUAGAUGGUCGGAUUUUGUCAUUAUUAUCCAUGGAUAGUGCUAGAUGUAGACCAUUUUUUACUUCUCAUACAUCUCUCAAGUUUUAUUUGUCGGAUUGAAUUAAAGAAGAUCAAUGACAAUAAGGGUGUGUAAGAAAUAAAAUUGAGCAUGUGGAUUGCACUUUCCUUACCCAAAUGAGUGGUCCGAGUCUGAUCCAACUAAAAAAAUCUGUGAGUAUUUAACGGAGUCGGGCAAGAAGAAGUAAUGCAUUAUCUGCCGAAUAAAAAGAACAUGUUGGUAAAAACUAUGAUACCGUUAUCCCUAAUUUUCUUAAUUCAAUUAUUAUGAAUAAUAAAUUCAGUACCAAUUAAUAAGACAUACUUAUUAUGUGGCUUAACUCAAAUUUUAUCCCUUAAUAUAAAUAUUUUAUUGUAUCAAAGAAAAUUAAGUUUUUUCAGCACUUGAAAUCACUAUUUCACGAAUUGAUUUUGCAAUUUCUCCUCACAAAAACAUUAGAAGUGUUGUAUAACUUAACUAAUCAUUUUAGCAUUUGAGGUUGAAUGUUCUAAGAGGUUAUAACUUAGUUAGUUAAGAACAUUCACCUCUACACAGGAGAUCUUAAGUUUGAUUUGCCCUUGUCAAUACUUCUACAAAAAAUAGUCAAUCAUGUAUCUGAUUUAGGAAUUUCUACUUUAUAUUACUCCUAAAAUAAAAAGUUUAUUUGAUACUAGCAGAUGAGCACACACUCUGUGUGUGUGAACAAUUGCCUACCUCCUCCCACGUUCUCCUCAAGCCCAACCGCUUCAGUUAAUUCAAACUAUCCAAAAAACAUCAUGAUUUCACUUAAUUGUAUGAAAAAAUGAUGUGGGACAAUUUCUCUUAAUAAGUGCAUAUUUUUUUAUCUUAUGUAAAUAUUUCGAUACAAAUUUACUAUUUUUCCAUCCUUAUGUAAAUAUUGUGUAUCAAAAGCGAGGGCAAAAUAGGAAAAAAAAGGGGAAAUCAAAAGAUACAAAAUUACUAUUUUUCCAUCCUCAUGUCAUCAUUGUGUAUUCAAAAGUGAGGGCAAAUUGGAAGAAAAUGGGGCAAAAAGUUGACAAGCCAUCUUUUCUUAAUAGAAUAACUAGCAUAUGGGCACACACAAAGUAUGAGAAAAUUUUUUAUUUUUGUUUUUGAAAUAGAAGGAGAGAGGAAGAGAGUGAUAGAGAAUGUGGGAGUAGGAAGUUUUUAAUUUUUUUUAAUUUUUAAUUUUUUUAAUUAGAGAUAUGUUAGAAUUACAUGUAAGUGAGACGUUGAAAAAAAAGCAAAAUUUGGCUGUAAAAUUACAUUUCUAUUCCAUAUUUCUUAUUCAUGUUUUGUUUUAAUUAGAUGAUUAAACUGAUAAUUUCAAAGUAUUUUGAUUGACAAUGAAUAUUUUAUUAAUUAGUAGAUAUGUAUGAUUUCAAAAUCCGACCCAUAUCUCAUUUUAGUUUAAAUAAAAUUAAAAAGAAGUUGUGAAGUAAAGAAAAUUUGAAAGCACAUUCAAAAUGAGGGAAGAAAAGACUAAAACAGAUGGGUGGCGGAUGGCGGUAGUUCCAAUAUCAGCCAAUCAUCAGGAGUUGGAUUGAGGACAGAACCAAAGCCAGACCAUCCUCUUUUAUCUUUCUUCCCUCUUUAAAUCGGAAUAAAAUUAAAACUGUCAGACAAAUAUCAAAGUUCUCUCUCUUUCUUUGUUUGUCUGCCUGUCUGCAAGCAAUCGCAGCCCCUCCCAUGCAUUUGAAUUAAGAAAAACUAAUGAAAAUAACUUGAAAACUUUGAGUUUUAACUAUAAGAAUAAAAUAAAAGAACCAUGUUUGACUUUUUAGUGUAAAAAUGUGGUUUUUCAUUAAAGUGAACAGUACCGUUGGUUUUUCGUUAAAACUUUAUCUCAAUUAUUUAUAAGGAAAACUAAUGAAAAAGACUUGAAAACUUUGAGUUUUAACUAUAAGGAUAAAAUAAAAGGAAAACUAAUGAAAAUGGUUUGAAAACUUUGAGUUUUAAUGAUAAGGACAAAAUAAAGGGUAAAGUGAAUAGUACCAGGAUUGACUUUUUAGUGUAAAAAUGUGGUUUUUCGUUAAAGUGAACAGUGCCAGGUGCUUUUCAUUAAAGUUCCCUAAAAUAAAGGGUAAAGUGAAUAGUAUCAUGUUUGACUUUUUAGUGUAAAAAUGUGGUUUUUCGUUAAAUGAACAGUACCGCAGACUUUUCAUUAAAACUCCCUUAUUUGUAAGUUUUUUAAUUCCUAAUCUCAUGCUCUUUCUAAGACUAGAAGAAAUAUAAAAGUAUAUAUUAUAUACUGUUAUAAAUAUGUCAAAGUUAGAGAGAUAACCUUUUUAGUAAAUGAUGGAGCAAAGCAGGUGUAAAAUGUCACAUUGAAAUUAUAGCACUAGGGGAUGACAAAUAAAAGAGGGAGGAAUAGAUGAUGUUAUUGAGCUUUCUUUCUUUCUGUAUGCUUUCCCUGUAUAUACAUCGAUGGCAGUAAGAGUGCUCUAUUUAUAGAGCGAAUCCAUACGAACAAAUUCUUAAAGUUUGAAAUUUACAACUCAUAGCUUUGACAAUACAACAUUUUGUUUCCAAAGUCUUCAUCAUAUUUGUGUGGGUAUUGACAAAGAACUUAUGUGGGCAUUCAUUAGAUAGUCGCUGGUUUCAUCAGCUAAUGUUUUCAACUGCCAAUAUUGACUGUCAAUGGUUUCAACACUCCAUCUUAGAUGCCCACAUAUCAACAUCAGUUGCCUCGUUAAAACCUUGCUUAGAAAAACCCAGUGGGAAAAAUCUAAUCGAAGGAAAAAGAGUACAACAAACAUGUAUCAUGGAUACUCCCCCUAAUAUAUAUCUCUCCUUGAUUCCGCAUUCUCCAAAUUGAGUUGUUUGGUAAGUCGAAGUAAUCCAAUAUUUUACACUAACUUUUGAAACGUGCACUUUGGUAGAGAUUUGGUGAACAAAUCUGCCAGAUUUUUAUUAGAACAUAUUUGUCUUACUUCAAUAACUUUAACCUUCUGAAGCUCAUGUGUACUGAAAAACUUUAGAGAUAUGUGUUUAGUUUUAUUGCCCUUGAAGAAUCCUUCAUUCAUAUGGGCAACACAGGCUGCAUUAUCUUCAUGAAUGAUAGUUGGAUUGUCUGUCUUCAAAGUUAGACCACAUGAAUUCCGGAUAUGAUGGAUCAUUGAUCUUAACCAAGAACAUUCACGACUUGCUUCAUGUAAAGCAAGUAUUUCUGAAUGAUUUGAAGAUGUAGCAACUAAUGUUUGCUUUGUUGAGCGCCAAGAGAUUGCUGUAUCUCUAUUCUUGAACACAUAUCCAGUUUGUGAGCGGGCUUUAUGCGGAUCAGAGAGGAAACCAACAUCUGCAUAUCCAACAAGGACCUGGUCAUUUGUUGAGUUCUUUGAGUAGAAGAGACCCAUAUCUGUUGUCCCACGAAGGUAUCACAAUACAUCUUUGACACCCUUCCAAUGACAGAUUGUUGGAGCAAAGCUAUACCUGGCUAACAAGUUGAAAAAGCUAUAUCUGGUCUUGUCCAUUGUGCUAAAUACAACAAAGUUCCUACUGCACUCAGAUAUGGUACUUCUGGACCAAUGACCAUUUCAUCAUCUUCUUUUGGACGGAAUGAAUCUUUCUUAAUGUCCAGAGAACGAACGACCAUUGGCGUGCUGAGUGGAUAAGCCUUGUCCAUACCAAAACGCUUCAGGAAUUUUUUCAAUGUAAGUUGAUUGGUGGACCAAAAUUCCACUAACACAAUACUCGAUCUGCAGGCCGAGACAAAAUUUUGUUUUUCCAAGGUCUUUCAUUUCAAAUUCGUUUUUCAGAUAUUCAGCAGUUUCAUUGAGCUCUUCAGGAGUUCCAACUAGGUUCAUAUCAUCAACAUAUACUGCCACUAUAGCAAAUCCAGAAUUGGAUUUCUUAAUGAACACACAAGGGCAAAUGAUAUUAUUGAUGUAUCCUUCUUUGGUCAAAUACUCACUGAGAUGAUUAUACCAUAUUCGUCCAGAUUAUUUUAGCCUAUACAAUGAUCGCCUUAAUUGAUCGAAAGCAUAUCUCGUGGUUUGUUAGCUGUUUCAGGCGACUUAAGUCCUUCUAGGACUUUCAUAUAUAUGUUAGUAUCUAAUUCUCCAUAUAGAUAUGCAGUGAUGACAUCCAUAAGUCGCAUGUCAAGCUUUUCUGAAACCACUAAACUUAUUAAGUAACGAAACGUAAUUGCGUCCAUUACACUAGAGUAUGUCUCCACAUAAUCAAUUCCAGGUCUUUGUGAAAAACCUUGUGCAACGAGUCGUGCUUUAUAUCUUGCAAUCUCGUUUUUCUCAUUGCGUUUCCUUGUGAAUACCCAUUUGUAACCCACGGGGUUUACACCAGGUGGGGUUUGGACUACAGGUCCAAAAACACUUCACAUUUCCAAGGAAUUUAAUUCUGCCUGGAUUGCAUCUUUCCACUUAGGCCAAUCUUGUCUCUGUUUACAUUCAUCAAUAGAGCGGGGCUCAAGAUCAUCACUUAAUAUGAUUUUAGUGGCUACUGCGAAUGCAAGCAUAUCGUCAAUGAUUAUUUCAUUUCGAUCCCAUAAUUCAUUAGUACAUGCAUAAUUUAUGGAGAUUUCUUUGCUUUCAUGUACUUCUAUCUCUUCAGGAAUAUGUGUCUUAUGAAGGACAUUUUCUUUUUCUGGUAGUCCAGAAUCAUGAAUUGUGGAUUUAUCAUCCAUUUUCUCUUCCUGAAUGAUUUCAUUUAGAUUUAGAUGUGCCUUUGUCUUUCUCUUGCGAGGGGCUGAAUCUUUUGAACUUGGGGGUCUACCACGCUUCAGGCGUGCACCAGAUAAAUCAUUCGCUACCACUUUAUUUUGUCCAACAGGAACAUCAAUUUUUGCUGGUGCAUUUGCAGCUCGUAUAUGUGAUUUUGUCACUUUCAUAGCAUCAUUAAAUGCAUCUGGCAUGUGAUUGGCAAUGCUUUGAAGAUGAACGAUCAUUUUUACUUCAUUUUCACAUUGCAUGCUUCGAGUAUCAAAAUGAGACAAGGUGGGAACAACCCAUGUCAACUCUUUCCGUUCUUCUGGAACGGUAUUUUCUCCCUCUAAUGACAGGAAGACUGUCUUUUCAAAGUGAUAAUCAGCAAAAUGAGCUGUAAACAUAUCACAUGUCAAGGGUUCCAAAUAUUUAAUGAUAGAUGGUGAAUCAAAACCCACAUAAAUUCCCAGUCUACGCUGAGGUCCCAUUUUAGUGCGUUGCGGAGGUGCAAUAGGCACAUAAACAGCACAACCAAAAACUCGUAAAUGUGAAAUGUUUGGCUGAUGCCCAAACACGAGUUGUACUGAGGAGUGUUGGUGGUUAGAAAUAGGUCUCAAUCGAACUAAUGAUGCAGCAUGUAAGAUGGCAUGUCCCCAUGCAGAAACUGGCAAUUUGGUUUUCAUAAGCAGAGUGCAAGCUAUCAACUGCAAUCACUUGAUCAAUACUUCUGCCAAACCAUUUUGAGUAUGGACAUGAGGAACGGGGUGUUCAACAUCGAUGCCUAAUGUCAUGUAGUAAUCAUCAAAGGUUUGAGACGUAAAUUCACCAGUGUUAUCAAGUCGGAUUGACUUAAUGGGAUAAUCUGGGAAUUGUGCUCGUAACUUAGUUAUCUGAGCAAGAAGUCUCGCAAAAGCUACAUUCCGAGUAGACAACAGACAAACAUGUGACCAUCUGGUAAAUGUAUCAAUCAAAACCAUAAAAUAUCGAAAUGGUCCACAAGAUGGUUGAAUAGGUCCACAAAUAUCCCUUUGAAUUCUUUGCAGAAAUGAUGGGGAUUCAACAUCAACCUUUAGUUGUGAUGGUCUAAUUACUAACUUCCCUUGAGAACAAGCCUUGAAAGGGUUAUCAUUUGAGAUAACAAUGUCUCUGCUCAAUAAUGGAUGUCCAUUAGAGUUGGUAAUGAUCCUACGCAUCAUGGUGGAUCCUGGAUAACCCAGAUGGUCAUGCUAAAGCAUGUAAACUUUUGAAUCAAUGAACUUCUAGUUCAUGACAGUAUGUGAUUCAACUGUCUUUAUGUAUGUAUAAUACAAUCCACUCGACAAACCAUGCAACUUCUCCAAUAUACGCUUAUGGGUAUCAUUGGAGGUAAUGCAUAGAUACUCCACAUUUUCUGCACUUUUUGUUUCAAUGUGGUAUCCAUUUAAAUGUAUGUCUUUGAAACUCAACAAGUUUCAAGUAGAUCGAGUAGCGUACAACGCAUUCUGUAUGGAUAAUAUUGUUCCAUUUGGUAACAUAAUCUGGGCUUUCCCUCAGCCUUUAAUCACAUCUGAUUGGCCUGAUAUUGUUGUUACCUUUACUUUUGUAAACAUCAAGCUUGGGAAAUACUUUCGAUCUCGAAGUAUUGUAUGCGUUGUUACGCAGUCUGCAAGACAGAUAUCUCCACCAUUUCUCAUGUUCUGAGAAUGACCAUAGUUUUUAUCCAUGCUCUUUGAGUAAAGGACUCAGAGUUAAAAGCAAGUUAUAACAAGAAAUUUACAUGCCACUUUUAUUGAAUCUAAAAUGCUAGUUUUACACAACAAGUUCAGCAUAAUAAAAGUACAUCAAACAUAAAUGAUUCAGUCAGACUGGUAUACUUCAUUCCCUCUUUCUAUAAUGAAGUCUGAAACAUCUAGGUGGGUUGUGUCCAAUUGCCCUGAUAAAUCACACACUGGAUCAGGUAUAUCCAUUGGUCUAGCCUGGUCGAGGAAAUUAGCCUUGACACCCUUUUGCCUUGAGGAAGGCUUGAUACAGAUCCACUAGAUAUUUUGGGGUACGACAAGUGCGUGCCCAAUGCCCAUUGCCACCACACCUAUGGCAGGCUCCUUCAGAGUUCCUGGGAGCAUUGGUCAUAUGAGCUUUGCCUUUGUGGCGAUUCAUUUUUUUAAAGCUCAGGCCUGAAUUAUGCCUCAGAACCUGGUUGUGAAACUGACCACCAUGGUUCUUGCCUUUCCUAUUCCAUCGACCUCGCUUGUGGCCACGUCCUCAUUUAUGAUUAUCACCACCAGAGGAUGUGGUGUUCACUUUGGGAAGCAGCAUUCAUUUCUGGGAAUGGUGUAGAUCCAAUAGGUCAGGAAUUAUGGUUUUUCAUCAGGAGCUCAUUGUUCUGUUCAGCUACCAGGAGCACGGAUAUCAGUUGGUUGUAUUCAGUGAAGCCUUGUGCUCUAUAUUGCUGCUGCAUGAGCAAGUUAGAGGCAUGAAAUGUGCUGAAAGUCUUUUCCAGCAACAUUUCCUUAGUAAUACUAUCCCCACAGAGUUUCAUCUGAGAGGUAAUUCUGAACAACGCAAAAUUAUACUCAGCCACUGACUUGAAAUCCUGGAUCUUAGGUGAGUCCAUUCAUAGCGAGCUCUUGGAAGAAUCACCGUUGUCUGGUGAUUGUAUCUUGCCAAAGAGCUAACGGAUCUUCAGCCGUUAAGUACUCACUCUUUAAUGCCUCAUCAAGAUGACGACGAAUAAAAAUCAUAGCCUUCGCCCGCUCUUGAAAGGAUGAGCUGGUCUUUUCCCUGAUGGUAUCUCCAAGAUUCCCUGCUUCCAGAUGGAUCUUGGUAUCCAGUACCCAGGUAAGGUAAUUCUUCCCGGUAAUGUCCAGGGCAGCAUAUUCAAGCUUUGCCAAGUUCGCAAUUUUCUUUUCUGAAAGAAAAAUGAGAUGUGUAAGAACUUGCAAUACUAUGUAUUCCUGGAGGAAUAUAGUGUUAGAACUUAUGGCUCUUACAAAUUUUUCACUUUGAUCUUUAGGCCUAAAUGAUAAGCACUCGAAAGUUCUAGCUCGAGAUUUUUAGGAUGACUAAGGAAGGUGAUUGUACCGCACCAUUCUCAUUAAAAUAAUAUAACAUGUUAUGGGUGAUUAUUCCGUACCACUCAAGUAGCAAGAAAAUUUAAAUAUGUAGAGCAAUGUGGGCGAUUAUACCGCACCACCUAAAAUUACAAUGAAAUUAAACCGCAGGUGUUGAUGCACAAAAUCAGUGAGGACUUUGGUACAACAGAAAGUGUUAAGUUUGUGACCUUCGCUAGAUUGCUCCGGUCACUAGUAUGGACAAGUAUGUAAAUGGAUAGAGACAGGGAAGCAAACACAAGAUGUACGUGGUUCACCCAGAUUGGCUACGUCCACGGAGUAGAGGAGUUCUCAUUAAUUGUGAAAGGUUUACACAAGUACAUAUGUUCAAGCUCUCCUUUAGUGAGUACAAGUGAAUGAUUUAGUACAAUGACAUUAGAAAAUAUUGUGAAAGAAUGAUCUCUAUUUAUAGAAGAGAGCUUCUAGUUUCAUUUUGACAUUGACACGUGUCGUGUUGUGAUUGGUUUCUGAUGUUGACAGUUGUCGAGCUAUGAUUGGCUUCUGAUGUUGACACGUGUCGCGCUGUGAUUGGCCUCCUGGUUGGAGGGAAACUCUUCUGGGUCCUUGACAGUAUAACGUUGACGGUGCUCAGUAGUUUUCGGGAUUGGUCAAGUAUGGUACAAACAGUGCUCCCCUAAGUUCCCGAGUGAGGGAAGCUCUCUCGGUUGGGGACUUGCAAGAUCCAGAGCCAUUGAGUAAUAAUCACGAAACUUCUAAGUACCGAAGUGUGGUCAUUUUCAACUUGCCUUAUCUGUCUCAUAUGUAGAUGUGGCAUCUUCUCUGGAAGUACUUUUCCUCCAUCCAGGGUGGUAUCUUUAACCGAUGAAGAUGCACAAGGUAAUGUAUCAAUUUUCACUUGAAGCUUACUUGUAGUUUCGGGCUUGGUCAAGUGCGAUACAAACCCUAUAGUAGGAGUCCCCCAAGUCGCCGAGCUAGGAGAUUUGCCGAAUGAGGUAACAGACAAGGUAAGCAAUCAGACUUCCAAGCAAGCAACCUGGAUCGGAGGUUCGACUUCGGCUUCCGGUUGAUUGUUCUCCUUCUCCUUGUGUCGUAAAUAGCAACAAGGAUAAGGAGAAGCAAAUGGAGAAGAGAUGAUAUGAGAUACUUUUGCUUUUGAAGAAGUAACUUUCCACAGGCUUAUUCUUGAACUGGGCUGGAGGGUUUUCUGGUUUCCUCCAGAGUAUAAGGCCGACUCAAGAAUUUGAGGGUCAAAACAAGUCCAUCAAAUCUAGAGUACGUUCGACCUUGAUGAUAUGGGAUACUUUUGCUGUUGACAAAGUAGUGGAUGUAUCGGCACGUGUUCUGUUACGCUUGUCUCCACAUGCUUCCUUGUAUCCUUCUCACUUGCCCUAUCUGUUCCUCAGGCAGAUGUGGUAUCUUUCUGGAAGCAUAAGAUGUUGAAGAUGAGUACUCGAGAGCAAUGCCAGGUAAGUAAUCAGGCAAGGGGUUCCAGGCAGUCAGUUCCUGACUGGAAGCUUGAUUCCAAGUGCUGACUGAUUGCUCUCUUUCUCCUUGUCUUGCAGGUAAGAACAAGGCCAAAGGAAAAGACAGGGAAAAAGCAUGAUAUGGAUACUCUUGCUUUUAACCCUGAUGAUAUGAGAUACUCUUGCUCUGGUGUGGCUUGUUUGCAGAGGUAUUAUCGGGAGGAAAAAAAGCUGAGUAUUUCGAGAGACUCUGCUGAGAGUGCCCUCUCGGAUGUGAAGAAAAGUUGAGCAUUUUUUUUUAUUUGCAGGUUUGCCUGGUUGUGGAGGAUGGAGGUCGACAUAUAUAGGAGUCUCCCUAACAACAAGUAGUAGUGCUAUUCCUUUACCUUUCUUGGUCGUAGCAAUGUAGUGGGAGCUGCAAGCUUCACGUUUUUUAACUUUGUCAUAGCACUUUGAAAAAGUGGUAUGUGGUAUUUGGAAGGCUGAUGUUGCGUGUGAAAAUUGCAGACAAGCUUUAUCCAAGGAAAUCUUGCUCUCAAAGUUCAGAGAGCAAUGCCUCUUCGGUUUUCGAACAAGCAAUCCUGUCGGGGAUCUGGCUCUCGAGAUUCGGAGAGCGGUGCCUCUUUGAUUUUUGAGAAAGCAAUCCUGUUGGGAGUCUGGCUCUUGAGAUUUGGAGAGCGGUGCUUCUUCGACUUUUGAGAAAGUAAUAAUGUUGUUGGGAGUCUGGCUCUCGAGAUUCGGAAGGCGGUGCCUCUUCGAUUUUUUAGCAAGUAAUAAUGUUAUUCCUUUACCCUUCUUGGUUAUAGCAAUGUAGUGGGAGCUGCAAGCUUCAUAUGUUUUAACUUUGUUAGAGCGCUUUGAAAAGUGGUAUGUGGUAUCUAGAAAGCUGAUGUUGCGUGUGAAGAUUGCAGACAAGCUUUAUCCAAGGAAAUCUGGCUCUCGAAGUUCGGAGAGCAGUGCCUCUUCGGUUUUCGAACAAGCAAUCCUAUCGGGGAUCUGGCUCUUGAGAUGUAGAGAACGGUGCCUCUUUGAUUUUUGAGAAAGCAAUCCUGUUGGGAGGCUGACUCUUGAGAUUCGGAGAGCAGUGUCUCUUCGAUUUUUGAGAAAGUAAUCAUGUUGGGAGUCUGGCUCUCGAGAUUCGGAGAGUGGUUCCUCUUCGAUUUUUGAGCAAGCAAUCUUGUUGGGAGUGUUUUCUCGAAUAUGAGUAAAGGUUGGGCAUUUUUGCCAGUCUGCCUUGCCACGGAGCACGGAGGUUGACACACAUUGGGACUUUCUAGUUAUCAAGCAGUGGUGCUGUUCCUUUACCCUUGUGGGUAAUAGUAGGGUAGCUGGACCUUCAAAAUUUAUGUGUCUAAACUUUGUCAGAGAUCUUUGGCAAAGUUAUCUGUGGUACCCGAUGAGCUGAUGUUGCGUGUGGAAAGUGGUGCCUCUUCGAAAUCUGGAGAGUGGUGCCUCUUCGAUUUUUGAACCAACGGCCUUGUUGCCCUUUCUUUUAUAAGGGCACCAAUUGUGUGCAAGAAGUACAUUCAGAGAGUUAUUGCUUGUAGGAAUUUUCCCCUUACUUCAGAGAUUUAUUGCACCUCAUUUCUCCUUCAUCAUUUCUGAGAAUGUCUGGCCCAUCCGACCGUCGUUUUGACUUGAACUUUGGUGAAGAGGCAGCCAUGCCUUCUCAAGACAACAUAUGGCGCCCAUCCUUCUUAUCCCCUACUGGUCCUCUUACCGUUGGGGACUCUGUGAUGAAGAAUGAUAUGACCGCUGCGGUGGUGGCCAGGAACCUUCUCACUCCCAAAGAUAACAGACUACUUUCCAAACGGUCUGAUGAGUUGGCUGUUAAGGAUUCUCUGGCUCUCAGUGUUCAGUGUGCAGGUUCUGUGUCUAAUAUGGCCCAACGCCUAUUUGCUCGAACCCGCCAAGUUGAAUCAUUGGCGGCUGAAGUGAUAAGUCUCAAACAGGAGAUCAGAGGGCUCAAGCAUGAGAAUAAACAGUUGCACAGGCUCGCACAUGACUAUGCUACAAACAUGAAGAGGAAGCUCGACCAGCUGCAGGAAUCUGAUGGUCAGAUUUUACUUGAUCAUCAGAGGUUUGUGGGUUUGUUCCAAAGGCAUUUAUUGCCUUCGUCUUCUGGGGCUGUACCGCGUAAUGAAGCUCCAAAUGAUCAACCUUCGGUGCCUCCUCCUUCUGGGGUUCUGCCUAGUACUGAGGCUCCGAAUAAUCACCCUCUGGUGCCUCCUCUUUCUGGGGCUCUGCCGACUGCUGAGACUUCUCCUGAGCAACCUUUGUGAAGGCUCCCUCUUGUUUGUUUAUUUUGAUUCAUGUGUAUAUGUACAUAUUUGUAACUUAUCGGAGAUAUCAAUAAACAAGCUUUGCUUCAUUUCAACGUAUUGUGUUAAAUACACCAAGGCCUUCUUCACUAAGUUCUUUGAAUUUUUUCCUUUUGUUGAAUCUUGUAUGUUGAAACUUUGUGAGUGAAGCAUGUAGGUUGAGGUAGUGCUUCCUUAAUUUCCCGAGUGAGGAAAACUUUUCGUUUGGAGACUUGAAAUAUCCAAGUCACUGAGUGGUCGUGAGACUUCCGAGUAUCAAGGUGCAGUAGCAUAUGGUAGGAGUCCCCUAAGUCUCCGGUUGAGGCAUUUCCUUUCUAAGUGGUAGCCCAAAACUCCUUCAUAUAUAUUUGUUAUGAAAGUUGUUAGGCCCAAAGAAGAGGAGGCCUAGGCAAUUUAUUUAUUUUUUUUGGUUUUUUUUUUCGAAAUUUCGAAUUUUUGAAUUUUUGAAUUUUUGAAUUUUCGAAUUUCUGAAAAGAAAAAAAAUAUAUAUAUUUUAAAGCUUUGUAGGUGAAGCUUUGGUGUUGAAGCUUUGUAGGUGAAGCUUUGAGGUUGAAGCUUUGUUGGGCACCAUGAAUUGAUUUUGCUUCACACUAUCUUGAUCAAGAUUGUGUGAAGCUUUUGUAGGUGAAGCUUUUGUGUUGAAGUUUUGUAGGUGAAGUUUUUGUGGGUGAAACUUUUGUGGGUCAAGCUUUUGUGGGUCAAGCUUUUGUAGGUCAAGCUUUUGUGGGUCAAGCUUUUGUAGGUGAAGCUUUUGUGGGUCAAACUUUUGUGGGUCAAGCUUUUGUGGGUCAAGCUUUUGUAGGUGAAGCUUUUGUGGGUCAAGCUUUUGUAGGUCAAGCUUUGUUGGGUCAAGCUUUUGUAGGUGAAGCUUUUGUGGGUCAAGCUUUUGUAGGUCAAGCUUUGUUGGGCACCAUGAAUUGAUUUUGCUUCAUAUUAUCUUGAUCAAGAUAGUGUGAAACUUUUGUAGGUGAAGCUUUUGUGUUGAAGUUUUGUAGGUGAAGCUUUUGUGUUGAAGUUUUGUAGGUGAAGCUUUUGUGGGUGAAGCUUUUGUGGGUCAAGUUUUUGUGGGUCAAGCUUUUGUAGGUGAAGCUUUUGUGGGUCAAGCUUUUGUAGGUGAAGUUUUUGUGGGUUAAGCUUUUGUGGGUGAAGCUUUUGUAGGUGAAGCUUUUAUGGAUGAAGCUUUUAUAGGUUAAGCUUUUGUGGGUGAAGCUUUUGUGGGUGAAGCUUUUGUGGGUCAAGCUUUUGUAGGUGAAGCUUUUGUGUUAAAGCUUUUGUUGGGUACCAUGAAUUGAUUUUGCUUCACACUAUCUUGAUCAAGAUAGUGUGAAGCUUUUGAGAAUUUGUAGUUGUCCUCCAUUGAUGAAGCUUUUGUUGGUGAAGCUUUGGAGUUGAAGCUUUUGUUGGGUACCAUGAAUUGAUUUUGCUUCACACUAUCUUGAUCAAGAUAGUGUGAAGCUUUUGAGAAUUAGUUGUUAUCUUCCAUUGAUGAAGCUUUUGUUGGUGAAGCUUUGGAGUUGAAGCUUUUGUUGAAUUUCCCCUUUUUUUUUUUUUUGGGAAACUAGAAAUUUGAAAAUGUGGGAGAGACAACAUAUACAAAUUUUGCUUCCACAUUGUUGAGCAAGAGAUUGUGAUGCAAGCCACACCUUGUAGUAGUCGAAGGUUUGGAUGAACCAUAUAAAUUGAAUUUGCUUCGAACAGUCUUGAAUUUGCUUCGAAGGUUUGAGAAUUGUAGUUGCCCUCCAUUGAUGAAGCUUUUGUUGGCACCAUAAAUUGGUUUUGCUUCACACUGUCUUGAUCAAGAGUGUGUGAAGCUUUUGAGAAUUAUGAUUGCCCUCAUUGAUGAAGCUUUUGUUGGCACCAUAAAUUUGUUUUGCUUCACACUAUCUUGAUCAAGAGUGUGUGAAGCUUUUGAGAAUUGUGGUUGCCCUCCUUUGAUGAAGCUCUUGUUGGCACCAUAAAUUGGUUUUGCUUCACACUGUCUUGAUCAAGAGUGUGUGAAGCUUUUGAGAAUUGUGGUUGCCCUCCAUUGAUGAAGCUCUUGUUGGCACCAUAAAUUGGUUUUGCUUCACACUGUCUUGAUCAAGAGUGUGUGAAGCUUUUGAGAAUUGUGGUUGCCCUCCUUUGAUGAAGCUCUUGUUGGCACCAUAAAUUGGUUUUGCUUCACACUGUCUUGAUCAAGAGUGUGUGAAGCUUUUGAGAAUUGUGGUUGCCCUCCAUUGAUGAAGCUCUUGUUGGCACCAUAAAUUGGUUUUGCUUCACACUGUCUUGAUCAAGAGUGUGUGAAGCUUUCUACGAGUUGUAGUGUUUGCAUUGUUACAGAGGGGAAAUGUUUGAAGCAGAUGCAAGAGGGCUGAAUAGCUUGAUCUUCGUAUGCCAUGCACUGAAGUUGUUGUUGGCUUGCAAUAAGACUUUGUUGGUGACUAUAACUCUUGUUGGGCAUAAGUGAUCCCCUAGUUGAGUUGUCAAGCUUGAGGGUGUUUGAUUAUUUGUGAAUGCUAGGAGUUCACAUGUUCAAGUUGUACCACUCGUCUUCUGGUAGGUGAAAUGAAUGAUGAGUUGCUUUCAUCACUUGGUUGGUGGUACGAAGGUGAGUUCCUUCUUCCCCUGGUUGGUGACAUGAAUGGUAAGUUGCCAAAUGAUAUUAGAGUACGGGUUGUACAUUUCAUCACCUGGUUGGUGGUAUGAAGGAGAGUACAGGUUGUACAUUUCAUCACCUGGUUGGUGGCAUGAAGAUGAGUUCCUUCUUCACCUGGUUGGUGGCAUGAGUGGCAAGUUGCCAAAUGAUAUUAGAGUACGGGUUGUACAUUUCACCACCUGGUUGAUGGCAUGAAGGAGAGUACGGGUUGUACAUUUCAUCACCUGGUUGGUGGCAUGAAUGGCAAGUUGCCAAAUGAUAUUAGAGUACGGGUUGUACAUUUCAUCACCUAGUUGGUGGCAUGAAGAUGAGUUCUUUCUUCACCUGGUUGGUGGCAUGAGUGGCAAGUUGCCAAAUGAUAUUAAAGUACGGGUUGUACAUUUCAUCACCUGAUUGGUGGCAUGAUGGAGAGUACGGGUUGUACAUUUCAUCACCUGGUUGGUGGCAUGAAAAUGAGUUCAUUCUUCACAUUUCAUCACCUGAUUGUUGAGAAUAAGGGCAAGGUGUCUAGGCACAUUGUAGCAAGUGUCGAAUGACACAAAGUAUGUUGAACCCUUUCAAAGCACAGUUGGCUUAUGUAUGAAUGUGUUGGAAUGUAUGAUUGAACGAAUAUACUGUGAAGCUGUUCGUUUAUUUGUAUAGUCUUGUUGACAUAUACUUAGGCUUUGUUUCAUGUUGGAAGAAUUCAUGUUGAAGCUUUGAACCCGAAUGUUUCAUUGCUAGGAAUGUAAGAGGAUUAGGAUCAAGUUGUCUAAAUCACCUCUUUAUUGAAUUCAUGCCAAAUAGUCUUCGUUACAUAGGAUGCCGAACGGCUGAAGCUUAACACUUGUACAAUAUGAGUUUACUUGUAAUAGUACUUCAAGUGAUCAGCGUUCCAUGGAUGGCCAAAAGUCUUGCCAUCGGAGCUUUUAAGCUUGUAGGAGCCAGGGCGACUGAUGCCAACAACUUCAAACGGUCCAUCCCAGUUUGGACUAAGUGUUCCUUCACUCGGGACUCUGUUGCAGAGUAAUCUUUUCUUCAAUACCCAGUCCCCCACUUUGAAAGAAUGAGGUUUGACCCUGGAGUCAUAGUAGUUGGAGAUGCGCUGCUUAUAGGCGACAUUCCUCAAGUGAGACUGGUUUCUGUGUUCCUUGACUAGAUCUAAGUUGAGGGUAAGUUAUUUGUCAUUUUCGCUUUACACAUAGUUCUGGACUCAGAACGUUGCUUGCUCAAGCUCAACUGGGACAACUGCCUCUGUACCAAAGGCAAGUGAGAAUGGGGUUUCUCCUAUUGAUGUCCGAUACGAAGUGCGGUAUGACCAAAGAACUUAGGGUACAAAUUCUGGCCAACAACCUUUAGCCUUGUCUAAGCUGGUUUUCAAAGUUCGCUUGAUUAUUUUGUUGAUGGCUUCAACUUAUCCAUUAAACUGGGGAUGAGCUGGGGAGGCAAAACAUAAGUUGAUGUUGAACUUAGAUCAGAACAUCUUGAACUUAUUGUUGUCGAACUGUCCCCCGUUAUUAGUGACUAUCGUAUUGGGAAUGCUGAAUAUGCAAAUGAUGUUCUUCCAUACGAAGUCUUCUAUUUUUCCCUCAGUAAUGGUUGCCAAGGGUUAUACUUCGGCCCAAUUUGUGAAGUAGUCAACUGCAACGAUUGCAUAGCGAACCUUGCCCUUCCCUGCAGGUAUUGGGCUGAUCAAAUCAAAUCCCCAUUGGGCGAAGGGCGAAGGGCUGAUCAUAGGAGUGAGCGGCUCGGGAAGGGAAUGAGGAAUAGUUACGUAGCGUUGACACUUAUCACAUGAGUAGGAUAUUCUGAUGGCAUCUUGGUGGAGUGUUGGCCAAUAAUAUCCUUAGCGAAAAGCUUUCUGUGCUAGGGAUCGAGAACCAGCAUGAUCUCUGCAAACUUCUUCAUGUAUUUCCCGAAGGACAGUUUCCGCCUCUGCGGGCGUAAGGCAUUUUAGAUAUGGUAGGUUAAAACUCCACUUGUAGAAUUGGUCAUUAAUGAUCAAGUAACGGGUAGCCUUGUAUCGAAUCUGCUUAGCUUGGACUUUGUCAUUUGGAAGGGUGCCAUGAGCAAGGAAUCUAUAAAUUGGGGGUACUCCAACUAUCCCCCUGUUGUAAGUUGCACACUUCCGCAGCCAUGAUGUUUGGUGCUGCCAACAAUUCGACCUGAAUUUUUCUCCCAAUCUUGUCUUCCACCGCUGAGGCAAGGCGAGCCAAAGCAUCUACAUGACUGUUUACCGCUCGAGGAAUUUGGGUGAUCUGGUAGUGGAAGUGCUUAAGCAACAAUUGUGUUUGUGCCAGAUAUGCUACCAUGGAGCUAUCCUUAGCGUCAAAGUUGUUGGUGACCUGGUUAACCACCAAUUAGGAGUCACUGAAGAUAUCAAUUCGUUUAACCUCAAGGUGUUUGGCCAAACGUAAGCCUGCUAGGAGGGCUUCAUAUUCGGCCUCAUUGUUUGACGCCUUGAAUUUGAAACGAAGAGCAUACUCCAUCGCCACUUUGUCAGGGGUCGUAAGGACUAGUCUUGUUCCACAACCCUGUUGGUUGGACGAGCCAUCAACAUAUAGACUCCAUGCUAGGGCUGUUGGUUCUAUUUUCUGAGCUUCUGAGGGUAAUGAAACCACUUCUUUAGGCAUAGAAACAAUGUCAAUAGGAUAUGUGAAGUCGGCGAUGAAGUCUGCCACUGCUUGGCCUUUCUCAGCUGGCUUUGGUUGGUAGGAGAUGUCAAACUCACCCAAUGCUAUCGCCCAUUUGAUCAUUUGUCCGGAAGUGUCGGGACUUUGGAGUAUCUAUCGAAAAGGAUGAUUGGUAAACACGAUGAUGGAGUGUGCUUGGAAGUAAGGGCGAAGUUUUCGAGCAGACAUGACCAAAGCUAGAGCCAAUUUCUCAAUGUUAGAGUAUCGUGUCUCUGCAUCUUGUAAGGCCUUGCUAGUAUAGUAGACAGGUCGUUCAACAUUACCAUCCUUUCGAAUGAGAACAGAACUUACUGCUGAAGCUGAUACCGACAGAUAGAUAAUGAGAGUGUCACCAACCUCAGGUUUGGAGAGCAAAUGGGCUUUACUCAUGUAGUCUUUGAGGUUCUUGAAUGCCUCAGCACAUUCAUCAGUCCAUGUAAUGUACUUCUUACUUCCCUUAAGUGCUUUGAAGAAAUGAGCACAUCUGUCGGUGGCCUUAGAGAUGAACCUAGUUAAGGCGGCCACCUUGCCAGUAAGGCUCUGGAUGUCUUUUGAAGUUACUGGUUCCUUCAUGUUGAGGAUUGCUUUGAUAUUAUCGGGAUUAGCCUCAAUGCCUCGUUGGCUUAUCAUGAAGCCUAGGAAUUUGCUAGAGCCUACGCCGAAGGCACAUUUGUUGGGGUUCAACCUCAUUCGAUACCUCUUCAGAAUGGUGAAAGUUUCAGAUAGGUUGGUGAUGUGUUGGUCAGCAUGUUUGCUCUUGACUAGUAUAUCAUCAACGUAAACUUCCAUGCUUUUCCCAAUCUGUUCGGCGAACAUUGAAUUGACCAGUCUCUAAUAAGUCGCUCAUGCAUUCUUUAGGCCAAAGGGCAUGACUUUAUAGCAAUAUAGUCCAUUGUCAGUAGUAAAGGCUGUGUGUUCUUGGUCCGGAGGGUUCAUGAGGAUUUGGCUGUAUCCUGAGUAAGCAUCCAUGAAGUUCAUGAGUUCACACCCUGCUGUAGAGUCUAUAAGUCUGUCUAUGAGAGAAAGAGGAAAGCUAUCUUUCGGGCAUCCUUUGUUUAGGUCGGUGUAAUUGACACACAUUCUCCACAAGACCUUUUGAAGCAAGAAACUUUCCUUGGUCGGAUUCUUCUUAACAAGGACAACAUUUGCUAUCCAUGUUGGAUAAUUGACUUCGCGGACAAAGCCUAUGCCUUUGAGUUUUUCAACUUCUGCCUUCAUUGCCUCGUACCGUUCAGCGUCAUAAGAUCUUCGCUUCUAUCUUACUAGCUUGGUCUUGGGGUUAAUACUUAAGCGAUGACAGAUUAUAUCGGGAGAUAUGCCUGGCAUGUCCUCGUAUGACCAGGCGAAGACCUCAGUGUUCUCUUGCAAAAAAGAGAUCAAUGACAACCGAAUGGGUGGUGACAAGGUGGUACCAAUAUUCACCAUGCGAUCCGGAUAAUCUUUUGAGAUAGAGACCUUCUUCAACUUUUCAGCGGGUUGUGCUUGCUGGGUGAAAAAGUCAUCUCGAGGAUCGUCGGGUUGACUGUUGCCACCGUGAAUAUCCAAGUUGGCUUCGUCUAGGCUGGUCUUUAUGACUUGGUCAUGUAUAGAAAGAGUUUCCUUGGGCACAAGCAGAUGUUGUUGCUUGACCGAAGUGUUGUAACAUGAUCGUGCACUAAGUUGAUCUCCUCUGAUGUAACCAUUCCCAUAAGGGGUUGGAAAUUUCAUCAACAACAUAUGUGUGGAUACCAUGGCCUUGAGAUCAUUGAUGCCUGUGCGUCCCAAGAUAACAUUGUAUGUCGUUGGGCAAUCAACCACCAGGAAGUUAAUGGUAAUGGUAGCUAUGUAAGGGCCUAUACCAAUGGUGAAAGGUAAGUGUAUGCUCCCUAAAGGUUGCACGAUAUCACUGGAAAAGCUUAUCAGAGGGGAAAUCGAGCGGUCGAGCAAGUGUUCAGCUACAUUAAGUGCCCUGAAAGCUUCAGCAAACAUGAUAUUAACCGAAGCCUCCGUGUCUACCAGGAUUCGUCGUACUUCAAAGUUGGCUAUGUGAGCUUCCACGAUCAGUGGGUCGUUGUGAGGGUAGAUGAUACCUCUUUCUUCCUCAGGGUAGAAACAUAUUGGAUCCCAGUUAGGCUUUUAAUACUUACCUCCCCUGAUGUCUUCCACGUGAAACACUUGGUGACCAGACCUUAAAGCUUGUUCACUAUUUUUCAUAGCCCUAUUGGAAGAUUUAGAUAUGGGUGUGCCACCACUUAUGGAAUAUAUCACAUUUACCUGGCGUUGGUUACGGUUACCCAUUGGAGGGUGAAGGAGGAAUUGAUCAAUUUUUCCUUCACUUGCCAAAGCUUCAAUAUGAUCAUGAAGGGUGAUACACUUCUCGCCGUCAUGGCUGUUAUGCUCGUGGUAGCAGCAAAACAUGCCCGUGUUUUUCGUGGGCUUGUAAUCUGGGUGCCUCGGUUUUGGCUUCGGUAUCAAGUGUGCUAUGCUGGGGUAAAUGGCCACGCAUGUGGCGUUCAAAUGUGUGUAUGCCUCAUACCUCGGGGUAGGGGUUGUCCUGAUACAUGCUUGACCCACUGUGUUGACUGCCUGGGGUCGGGGAUUAUCAUGGCGAUACCCUUGGUUAUCGCGGUAGUGUCCCUUACUCCUUUUACUAAAAUGAGACUGGUGAUGAUGGAAAUCUUUCCUUUUGCCCUGAGAUUGAUAUAUCUGUUGACUUGGCAAAGUAUUAAGUAAGGCAGGGGGAGGCAUCGUUGCCAUUUGGAAGGUCGAGGUCUUCUCAUUUGGUUGGAUCUGGCUUCCACUCCUUACUUGCUGAUAAGGGGUGGUUGUGGGGGGUUUUCCUUGAUAUGUCCUUGCCUCGGCGGAGGCAUGGUUAUAAGCCUGUGCCAUCACUUCAGAGUAAGUCUUCCAAGUGUUGGCAUUGAUCAUGUACUUGAAGAAACAAUCACGUAGGCCUGCCGUGAAGGCCUUGACGGCGGUCUUGGCAUCUGCCUCAGCGCAGCGAGAAUACUCAUGGCUGAAACGACCAGCAUACUCUUGUAGUGACUCGUCCGGCUUCUGGCGAAUAGUGUACAAGUCAUCUGCAGAAUGCAUGCGAUCGGUCUGGAAGAUGUGUUGAGAGACAAACAGUUUCCUCAGUUCCUCAAAUGAGUCUACUGUCUCAGGUGGAAGACGGCAAUACCAGUUUAGAGCUCCGCCAGAAAGGGUGAAGGGGAAGAGAAGACAUCGCUCUUCGUCGGUGUGCAUCCGAUAUGCCAUGGUGGACUCAAAGAGGUUAAGGUGUUCAAUUGGGUCCUCCCUUCCAGUAUAGAGUUGUAAACCAAGCUUUUGUUUUGUCUUCGCUUGAAGGGGGUGUCAAGGAUCCUCCUUGUGAAAGGGCCAGGCCUGGGUUGGUUCCAGUUAGGUAUCUCGGCCUGACGUUCGGCCUUCAACUUGUUUACUUCCUCAAGGAGCUGUAGGACAAGGGGGUCUUGAGUGGAGUCAUGUACCACUGGGAUUUUCUUUCGUAAGUCUCCAUCGCCUCUUGGAAGUCAGAAAGUUUGAGCAAGGGCGUGUGAUUUUUCCUUGGACUCACCGUACUGACUUCUAGGGCGAGUCUGUCGGAAUACCUCAGAGUCCCCUGUACCUUCAUGUUCCUCUAGGACAUGUCGCUCCUUCCCUAGAUUGGCAGCUGGCCUGGGUCGUGGGAGGGGACCAAGUCUUUCAGAAACCCUUGGGUCGUUGAUCUUCGAGCAUAUGUGGAGGGGAUUCUCUUGACGUUGCUUUAGGAAGUUUCGGCAGUCAUGAUAAACGGCUUUCGAUCCUUCCAACCCUUCUGCAAAGAGGUGUCUUCCUCUACUUCUCCUGCUUCGGGUCGAAACAGUUGGGUUGAGAGAAGUUUCAUGUUGAUUAAUAUUUUGAUGAUUAGCUCGCUCUUCAUCAGGGAUACCCAUGUCGAAAGAAGGUGACCUUCCGUGUUGGGGGGCACCUAGAUGAUGGUUGAUGUCUACAGGGGCAACAAGUUCACGUGUUUGAGUACGCAUAGUUUCAUGGAGCGUCUCAAAGAGCUUCUCAUACUGCUCUUGGAGGACCUCAUUCUUCAUUGCUAUCUUGUUGUUUUGAGCUUCUAGCUUAUCGACUUUAGCUUGAACAGCAACCCUAUUUCCUUCAUUCUUUCGUUGCUUCGCACUAGGUGCAAGAAGGGUGUCAUUCUGUGUGUUGUGGCUUCCUUCGCUCCCCAUGUUGAAGAGGGAUGCCUGGUCAAAAGAGAGUGUACGAAUGGUGGAAACCAGCUUGACAAAGCUGAAGAGAGUGGGAAUAAGUGUCGUUCCCACAGACGGCGCCAAAUGUUGAUGCACAAAAUCAGUGGGGACUUUGGUACAACAGAAAGUGUUAAGUUUGUGACCUUUGCUAGAUUGCUUUGGUCACUAGUAUGGAUAAGUAUGUAAAUGGAUAGAGACAGUGAAGCAAACACAAGAUGUAUGUGGUUCACCCAGAUUGGCUACGACCACGGAGUAGAGGAGUUCUCAUUAAUUGUGAAGGGUUUACACAAGUACAUAGGUUCAGGCACUCCUUUAGUGAGUACAAGUGAAUGAUUUAGUACAAAUGACAUUAGGAAAUAUUGUGAGAGAAUUAUCUCUAUUUAUAUAAUAGAGUUUCUAGUUUCAUUCUGACAUUGACACGUGUUGUGUUGUGAUUAUUUCUGAUGUUGACACGUGUCGCGCUAUGAUUGGCUUCUGAUGUCGACACGUGUCGCGCUGUGAUUGGCCUCCUGGUUGGAGGGAAACUCUUAUGGGUCCUUGACGGUAUAAUGUUGACUGGUGCUCAGUAGUUUCGAAAUUGGUUAAGUAUGGUACAAACAGCAAGCAAAUUAAAUACGUAGGGUAGGGCGGGCGAUUAUACCGCUCCACCUAAAAUUUGCAGUAAAAUUAAAUCUGUAAUUCAAGAUAGGCGAUGAUACCGCACCAUCUUGGAUCGCAGUAAGAUGAAAUUUGCAGUUCAAGAUGGGCGAUUGUACCGCACCAUCUUAGAUUGCAGUAAAAAUAAAUAUUGGGUUAGUAAUCAAUAUCUAUACCAAACAAGAAAUCAAAGAUGUAUGUAACUGUUAGGUUGAGAACGAGAAGCAGGCAUGGAGCAAAUAGUUCGUCGCGAGGGUAUAUCGCGUAGUUGAGGCAGAGGAAGAAGAUGAACAGUAAAAACCUUAGAGGAAACAUUUUUUCUGUCGGCAAAGAGAGAUGAGAAAAGGUUAUAUUUAGAGAGUUGUGCUGAUAACGUGUUAUAAAUAUGUCAAAGUUAGAGAGAUAACCUUUUUAGUAAAUGAUGGAGCAAAGCAGGUGUAAAAUGUUACACUGAAAUUAUAGCACUAGGGGAUGACAAACAAAAGAGGGAGGAAUAGAUGAUGUUAUUGAGCUUUCUUUCUUUCUGUAUGUUUUCUCUGUAUAUACAUCGAUGGCAGUAGGAGUGCUCUAUUUAUAGAGCGAAUCCAUACGAACAAAUUCUUAAAGUUUGAAAUUUACAACUCAUAGCUUGGACAAUACAACAUUUUGUUUCCAAAGUCUUCAUCAUAUUUGUGUGGGUAUUGACAAAGAACUUAUGUAGGCAUUCAUCAGAUAGCCGAUGGUUUCAUCAGCUAAUGUUUUCAACUACCAAUAUUGACUGCCAAUGGUUUCAACAUAUACAUAUAUAUACAUACACACACACACACACACACACACAUAUAUAUAUAUGAAGAUGUUAGUUUUAUUACUUGCAUUUUAUUGAGAGUCUAAAUCCCACGUUGAAGAAAGAAGAGAUCUUGCAUAUGCUUAUAAGAAAAGAUCUUGCAUGUGCUUAUAAGAAGGGACAUUGCAUGUGCUUAUAAAUAGAAAGAAUGAACCAAAGUCAGUCCCCUCUUUUACCUUUCUUCCCUCUUUAAAAUGGAAUAAAAUUAAAACUGUGACAAAUAUCAAUGUUUGCUAUCUCUCUCUCUUUCUCUCUCUCUCUCUGCCUUCCAAGCAAAAAUCUCACUCUUCCAAAAAUCGCAGCCCCUCCCAUGCACCUCAACUAUUUGUAAGUUUUUUAAUUCCUAAUCUCAUGCUUUAUGUUAUUAAGGGUUGUAAUGUAAAUGAUGCUGAGUAAGUGUUGUUAGAGUUGUUGUGAGAAGUUUGUUAUACCUUACUUAGUUAAUAAGUUAGGUAGUUAUCCUAUAUGUAAAUGAUGGUAUAUAUACCAAAAGUGUAACAUUAUUCAAGUAAUGAAAAUCACAAUUUCAUUUUUCUAUUAUCUCUCUAUCUUUCUUACUGGAUCUCUCUCUAGAUUCUAACAAGGUAUUUAUCGCCGGUGUCUAACGACUUCUGAUGAUGCUUCGUAUCCCUACGUUCUCUGUGUUCUCUCUUUUUGCAUUUCUACACUACCAACAAUGGCGGUCUCUCCUCCACCUCUCUCUGAUUAUACGUCGCAGUCAUCUCCUGCAAAUUCUUCAGCCCCAAAUUUGUGCCCUAAUUCGGUCAAUUCUUUGAUCACAAUUCAAAACAUUAGCUCGCUGGUCCCGAUCAAACUGACGAUUACAGAUUGGAUCACCUGGAGUGCUUUAUUUGCACUGAUCUUUUGUCGGUACAAUCUCACUGGAAUAAUUGAUAGUUCCAUGGUGGCGCCGCCUAAGUAUCUUCUUGGUUGUUUAGGAAAUUGCAUUUCGACUGUGAAUCCUCAAUAUGUGACGUGGUUUGAGAAUGAUUAGAACAUUCUGAUCUGGAUCAAUUAGGCACUCUCGGAUUCUCUGAUCCCUUACACUGUUGGUGUUACCUCUGCUCGUGAUCUGUGGGCAAAAUUGGAGUCUCGCAUUGCGACGGCAUCUCAAUCACACAUUCAUGAACUUCGUGCUCGCCUUCGAACAAUUACUAAAGGCGAUUCCACUGCGGCUGCUUAUCUUCAACAAAUUGAAGAAAUCGCUGAUGCUAUUGCGACUGCUGGUGCUCCGAUUGAUGAUUCAGAACUCAUCUCUAUUAUUCUUCAUGAAUUACCGCUUGAAUAUGAUGCCUUUAAUGAUACUAUUCAGUUUUGUCUUGGUUCAACCAUUAUUGAUGAGUUACACGGCUUGUUGCUAAGUAAGGAGAUUCAAUUGGCAAAUCGUAAGAAGGUUUCUCCAUCAGCGCCAUUUCAAGCUUAUAAUUCCUUUGCCGACAUUCUUCCUACACCACUCGGUGACUCCAAUUCUCAGGCGUAUUAUGUUCAACAGAGCUCCAAUUUCAAUUCUUCACAAGGCCAUGGCAUGGAUUGGAAUUUUUCUAACCCUAGAAAUUUUCAGUAUCGCCCCAAUAACUCUCGAUCUUACAAUUCUCGCUCGAAUUUCUCUCGCCAAGGUCAACAGAAGAAUAAUCGUGGCUCCAGAUCCAAUUUCAAUAAUUUCAACAAAAGAAAUUCAUGUUAAAUUUGUUGUCAACUUGAUCAUGAGGUUAUUAAUUGUCCGCAUCGUAUGAAUCCUAGUUAUGGCAACAAGAAUUCACAGACAACUUUUCAUGCUAACACUUCUCUUCCACCACUCCAACAUGGCUUCUUGAUACUGGCGCCAGUUCUCAUAUGACCAACUUUUACACAAAUCUUCAAAGUCCUGAAUCCUACAAUGGUCCUGAGCAGGUCUAUAUUGGCGACGACAAAUGUUUGCCUAUUACUCACUCUGGUUCUUCUAGUCACGCCCCGAUCCCGACAUACGUCCAGGAUCGAUACGUGACGUCACUAAAUACUCGUAUAACUCACAUACCCCGUCUCCAGGUUAUGGAAAAUCACAAUUCGAGAAUCAAAUUGCAAAGUAAUUUUUCGUUUACCUUAUGGCUGCAUCUAACCUCCUUGUUAAACUACCUAGGUACCCUCAAUAGGGAUCAAGUCAUUCGUAGUUCACUUAUCACAAAAUCAGACGUUUAUUCCAUUAAGUUCAAGCAUAAAAGUAUAGCAUUCCUCAAUCAUUUAUUAUAACCUGUCAACAUGUAAUUCCUGGACUCAGGCUACAUAACCAAUCCCCAUGAAAACAUGAUUUCUCUCCCAUCCAACAUAUAAAUCAUUAUGUCUCAUCAUGAUAUCGCAAUUCACAACACACAUCAUAUUUAAGAGCCGAUGAAACACAAAACCAUUCUCUAGCCACAUUAAUUACUUAAUUUGAUCAAGUAAUAACAAUCAUUCCCAUAUCUUCUAAAUUCAUACCUUAUGAAAUCAUAAUCGAAUCAUAGAAAAUCCAGAAGGAGUCACUCAGACGUCCAACAUCUUUUCUAACUCAAUUCACAAGACUCUCGAAACCAUUGACACAAAUAUAUAUAAAACUAAGGCUAGAGUGACACAGUUAGGCCAAGCCUACUUCUCCAAAUAAUGGGAUUUUAGGCCACUCCACGAAAUUCAACAACCUCGAGUUCCGGACCAUUCAACGAAACCAACCCAAAUAUGAUCACCUAUAAAAUGUACCAGGUACAACCAAUCAUCAUCACCUCUAGAAUGUGUAUGGUCCCCCAUCGCGGAUAUACCAAGCAGAACCAUAGGCAUAAUCUCAUCAUGCAAGCAGUGAUUAGCCAUCGCGGAUAUACCAAGCAUGAUCACCCCUGAAUACAUAUGGUCUCCCAUCACGGAUAUACCAAGCAGAACCAUAGGCAUAAUCUCAUCCUGCAGGCAGUGAUCACCUAUCGUGGAUAUACCAAGCAUGAUCACCCCUAAAUACAUAUGGUCCCCCAUCGUGGAUAUACCAAGCAGGACCACAUCCUAGCUCUAGAUAGUGACCACCCAUCGCAGAUUAACCAAGCAGGGUCAAGAUAACCAAGUAGGUAGUGACCCCCCAACACGAAUUAACCCAGCAAAACCAUCCAUGUACUAGGGCUACACGGUGCAGUUAGAUCAACACACAAACCACUUACCCUUAUCUCAUCCGCUAUGAUUUACAUCGUAAUCACUUGCACUAUCAACUUCUCAUGACCACUAUCUUAUCAUACAAGCAUAAAAGUUCCACAUAAACUUCUCAUAAGAUUUUGGGUUCACAUCGUCAUAAAAACAAUCAUUCACAUCAUACAUAUCUAACCACAUUUCAUAAACGUUUCCAAGCUACAGUAGAUUCACAAUUACUAAACAUAGAUCGAUGCUAAAAAUAAAAAUAACAAUUCAAUAAGAAACACAUUUAAUCAACAAGUAUAACUCGAUAUUAGGCCUGGCAAUUCCUGACACGACCCAAUAACCCGACACGACACGACACGAAAUUAACAGGUGUUCGGGUCGACACGAUAACGAAACGGGUCGUUAUCGGGUAACCCGAUAAGCACCUGUUAAGAUAACGGGUUGUUUCGGGUAUACACGUGGGUAACACGAUACACGAUAAGCAGAAUAUUAAUUUAAUAAUUUUAUAACCCUAAAAAAAAUACUAUAAUUACUAUAUAUAUUAAUUUAACAAUUUUAUACGCCUAAAAACUAUAAUAAUAUAUAUAUAUAUAUAUAUAUAAUAUAUAUAUAUAUUAUAUUAACUAUAAUAAUUAUAAUAAUUAUAUAUACUAUAAUAAUUAUACCCCCAAAUAUUAACUAUAAUAGUUAUAUUUAUAUAUAUAUAUAUAUUAAAUUUUAAAUUAAAUUUUAUACCCCUAAAAACUAUAAUAAUUAUACAUACAAAAUAAAUAGAUUUAAAUCUACUUAAUAAAUAAAUAAAUAUACACACACACACACACACCAUUGAACUUCAUGGGAUACGAAUUAUACGAAACUAAUUUCAAUAAUUCAACCGUCAAACUUGUUUGUAUAUGCUUCGAGAUCGCAUCAGCAAAAAAUUACAAAAACCAAACAUUCACAGAUCAAGUAACGAUACAAAACUUUUCGACGGUUAUAAACGAAAAAUCACGAUUUAACGGUUAUUUUAACUCCGAUUUUGAUGAUUUUUUACAGCUACACUCCUUGACCCUAUAUGAAUACAAUGAAUGAAUUCGAUCUUCAAUUUAAAAUAUUUACACUAGUAGAUAACACAAAAUCUUAUGUUAUAUUUGAUAAAAGUAUGAAUAAACUCUUAAGUGUUAGUGAAUCUAUUGUUUUGAUGAGAUACGCAUUCUACGAAACUAGUUUCAACAAUCCAACCGUCAAACAUGUUUGUAUAUACUUCGAGAUCGCAUAUGCCAAAAAUUGAAAAAAACAAACAUUCAGAGAUCAAGUAACGAGACAAAACCUUUCGACGGUUAUAAACGAAAAAUCACGAUUUAACGGUUAUUUUAACUCCAAUUUUGAUAAUUUUUUACAGCUACACUCCUUGACCCUAUAUGAAUACAAUGAAUGAAUUCGAUCUUCAAUUUAAAAUAUUUACACUAGUGGAUACCACAAAAUCUUAUGUUAUAUUUAAUGAAAAUAUGAAUAAACUCUUAAGUGUUAGUGAAUUUAUUGUUUUGAUGAGAUGCGCAUUUUACGAAACUAGUUUCAACGAUCCAACCGUCAAACUUGUUUGUAUAUGCUUCGAGAUCGUAUACACCAAAAAUUGCAAAAAACAAACAUUCAGAGAUCAAGUAAUGGGACAAAACUUUUCGACGGUUAUAAACAAAAAAUCACGAUUUAACGGUUAUUUUAACUCUGAUUUUGAUGAUUUUUUACAGCUACACUCCUUGACCCUAUAUAAAUACAAUGAAUGAAUUCAAUCUUCAAUUUAAAAUAUUUACACUAGUGGAUACCACAAAAUCUUAUGUUAUACUAGAUGAAAGUAUAAAUAAAAUCUUUAAAUGUUAGUGAAUCUAUUGUUUUGAUGAGAUACACAUUCUACGAAACUAGUUUCGACAAUCCAACCGUCAAAAUUGUUUGUAUAUGCUUUGAGAUCACAUAUGCCAAAAAUUGCAAAAAACAAACAUUCAGAAAUCAAGUAACGGGACAAAAAAUUUCGACGGUUAUAAACGAAAAAUCACGAUUUAACGGUUAUUUUAAUUCUAAUUUUGAUGAUUUUUUAAAUUUACACUCCUUGACCCUAUAUGAAUACAAUGAAUGAAUUCGAUCUUCAAUUUAAAAUAUUUACACUAGUGGAUACCACAAAAUCUUAUGUUAUACUUAAUGAAAAUAUUAAUAAACUCUUAAGUGUUAGUGAAUAUAUUGUUUUGAUAAGAUACGCAUUUUGCAAAACUAGUUUCAACGAUCCAACUGUCAAACUUCUUUGUAUAUGCUUCGAGAUCGCAUAUGCCAAAAAUUGCAAAAAAAGAAACAUUCAGGGACCAAGUAACGAGACAAAACUUUUCGACGGUUAUAAACGAAAAAUCACGAUUUAACGGUUAUUUUAACUCCGAUUUUGAUGAUUUAUUACAGCUACACUCUUGACCCUAUAUAAAUACAAUGAAUGAAUUUGAUCUUCAAUUUAAAAUAUUUACACAAGUGGAUACCACAAAAUCUUAUGUUAUACAUAAUGAAAAUAUUAAUAAACUCUUAAGUGUUAGUGAAUAUAUUGUUUUGAUGAGAUACACAUUUUGCGAAACUAGUUUCAACGAUCCAACCGUCAAACUUGUUUGUAUAUGCUUUGAGAUCGCAUAUGCCAAAAAUUGCAAAAAACAAACAUUCAGAGAUCAAGUAAUGGGACAAAACUUUUCGACGGUUAUAAACAAAAAAUCACGAUUUAACGGUUAUUUUAACUCCGAUUUUGAUGAUUUUUUACAGCUACACUCCUUGACCCUAUAUAAAUACAAUGAAUGAAUUCGAUCUUCAAUUUAAAAUAUUUACACUAGUGGAUACCACAAAAUCUUAUGUUAUACUAGAUGAAAGUAUAAAUAAAAUCUUUAAAUGUUAGUGAAUCUAUUGUUUUGAUGGGAUACACAUUCUACGAAACUAGUUUCGACGAUCCAACCGUCAAAAUUGUUUGUAUAUGCUUUGAGAUCACAUAUGCCAAAAAUUGCAAAAAACAAACAUUCAGAGAUCAUGUAACGGGACAAAACCUUUCGACGGUUAUAAACGUAAAAUCACGAUUUAACGGUUAUUUUGACUCCGAUUUUGAUGAUUUUUUUACAGCUAUACUCCUUGACCCUAUAUAAAUACAAUGAAUGAAUUCGAUCUUCAAUUUAAAAUAUUUACACUAGUGGAUACCACAAAAUCUUAUGUUAUACUUGAUGAAAGUAUGAAUAAAAUCUUUAAAUGUUAGUGAAUCUAUUGUUUUGAUGGGAUACAUAUUCUACGAAACUAGUUUCGACGAUCCAACCGUCAAACAUGUUGUAUAUACUUCGAGAUUGUAUAUGCCAAAAAUUGCAAAAAAAAAACAAUCAGAGAUCAAAUAACGAGACAAAACUUUUCGAUGGUUAUAAACGAAAAAUCACGAUUUAACGGUUACUUUAACUCCGAUUUUGAUAAUUUUUUACAGCUACACUCCUUGACCCUAUAUGAAUACAAUGAAUGAAUUCGAUCUUCAAUUUAAAAUAUUUACACUAGUGGAUACCACAAAAUCUUAUGCUAUACUUGAUGAAAGUAUGAAUAAAAUCUUUAAAUGUUAGUGAAUCUAUUGUUUUGAUGGGAUACGCAUUCUACGAAACUAGUUUCGACGAUCCAACCGUCAAACAUGUUUGUAUAUACUUCGAGAUUGUAUAUGCCAAAAAUUGCAAAAAAUAAACAUUUAGAGAUCAAGUAACGCGACAAAACUUUUCGAUGGUUAAAAACGAAAAAUCACGAUUUAACGGUUAUUUUAACUCCGAUUUUGAUAAUUUUUUACAGCUACACUCCUUGACCCUAUAUGAAUACAAUGAAUGAAUUCGAUCUUCAAUUUAAAAUAUUUACAUUAGUGGAUACCACAAAAUCUUAUGUUAUACUUAAUGAAAAUAUUAAUAAACUCUUUAAGUGUUAGUGAAUAUAUUGUUUUGAUGAGAUACGCAUUUUGCGAAACUAAUUUCAACGAUCCAACCGUCAAACUUUUUUUUAUAUGCUUCGAGAUCGCAUAUGCCAAAAAUUGCAAAAAACAAACAUUUAGAGAUGAAGUAACGAGACAAAACAUUUCGACGGUUAUAAACGAAAAAUCACGAUUUAACGGUUAUUUUAACUCAGAUUUUGAUGAUUUUUUACAGCUACACUCCUUGACCCUAUAUAAAUACAGGGAAUGAAUUCGAUUUUCAAUUUAAAAUAUUUACACAAGUGGAUACCACAAAAUCUUAUGUUAUACUUAAUGAAAGUAUGAAUAAAAUCUUUAAGUGUUAGUGAAUCUAUUGUUUUGAUGGGAUACGCAUUCUACGAAACUAGUUUCGACGAUCCAACCAUCAAACAUGUUUGUAUAUACUUCGAGAUUGCAUAUGCCAAACAUUGCAAAAAACAAACAUUCAGAGAUCAAGUAACGAGACAAAACUUUUCGACGGUUAUAAACGAAAAAUCACGAUUUAACGGUUAUUUUAACUCCGAUUUUGAUGAUUUUUUACAGCUACACUCCUUGACCCUAUAUGAAUACAAUGAAUGAAUUCGAUCUUCAAUUUAAAAUAUUUACAUUAGUGGAUACCACAAAAUCUUAUGUUAUACUUAAUGAAAGUAAGAAUAAACUCUUAAGUGUUAGUGAAUAUAUUGUUUUUGAUGAGAUACGCAUUUCUACGAAACUAGUUUUCAACGAUCUAACCGUCAUACUUGUUUGUACGCCAAAAAAUUGCAAAAACAAACAUUUAAAGAUUAAGUAACGGGACAAAACUUUUCGACGGUUAUAAACGAAAAAUCACAAUUUAACGGUUAUUUUAACUCCGAUUUUGAUGAUUUUUUACAACUACACUCCUUGACCCUAUAUGAAUACAAUGAAUGAAUUCAAUCUUCAAUUUAAAAUAUUUACACUAGUGGAUACCACAAAAUCUUAUGUUAUACUUAAUGAAAGUACGAAUAAACACUCUAGUGGGUCACUUUCAUUAAGUUUUGAGUUCCAUUGGCAAUGUUUAAACUUUUGAAAAAGGCUUCACAAGCUUGAAAAAAAAAAACGGUUUCAUUUGUCAUAUCCUUGCACAUUUAAUAUUUGUAAUAGAUUAGUAGUGUAUGGAUGUAUUUUUUAUGAGGCUCUUAUUUUCGAAUGUAGAUGUAGUCCUUAAACGACAAAUGUGUUUUAAUGUUUUGAAGUAUUAUUUAUGUGACAAUGUGUGGUAUGUGCAAAUUUAAGAAAAAAAAAUAUUUUUCUUAACGGGUCAUAACGGGUCGGGUCACUUUACCCCGGGUCGGGUCACUUUACCCGUUGGGUAAAGUGACCCGACCUGUUAAUGACCCGUUAAGAUAACAGGUGUGACACGACACGACCCGUUAAGAUAACAGGUGUUACACAAAAACGACACGAACACGACUGACACGACCCGUUUGCCAGGCCUACUCAAUAUGGUGCCACUAAUACAUAUACCGAGCCACACGUCAACUGGGAACGACACAUCAUCGUGAUGAGCCAACUAAGCUCCAUCAAGCCUCAACAACAUACUAGAGGUAAGCGACCUCAAGAGUAGAGCACGUUGACUAGAACGUCAACCGUCGAUAAGGUAGGUCCAUUAAGGUCAACCUAAGGUUAUUCAAUCCAGAAGAUCCGCACAUCGGAUUUCCAAUCUGUAAGUUCUCAAAGGUCCAAGAACUGAUAACUAGGGUGUUUACAAAAUUGUACGACGAACCAACAAUCAGAUUGUCAUCAAUCACAUAAACAAGUGACAGUCCAAUUUAAUCCCCACACCAAACAAUUGAAUUUCGGGAAACCGAGCUAGACAUAGAUUUACAAGUUCCCUAUAAAGUAUUUGGUACUUAGACAACACUCGUGGACGGUCCCAAGCACCGCCACGCACCGCCACACGCCGGGUAGUCAAAGUGGAGAGUUUAGUAACCCCGAAUUUCCAACAUUAACUAAAUGAACUCAAAUUUACGUGGUAGCUAGAGUUCAACAAGGGAAACAUUUUUCACAACUAUGCCGACGACAAAUUCUAACCGGAAACCGUCCAAAUUCACAGGAGAAAACCAGAUUUCUAGGGUUCUAAACACCCAACUCUAAAAUAAAUACUAAAGCAUGAACAAAGCAUACCAACUUGAAGAUUAGGAAGAGUAGAUGAAGUUUCAUACCUCACUCAAAGGAAAUGAUUGUCGUAAUCAUCGAAAAAAUGAUAAAACCGCCGAAAACCCAAGAGAUUUUUCUGCCUCGAACUGGAAAAAUGGAAAAGAAAAAAGAAAAUCUAACACUACAGAGAUGUAAGACUCGUCAAGAGCUUUCCAUAGACACCAAGAUCAUCCAAAACGAAGCUCGGAUGAAGGAGAUAUAAGCGGGUCAAGUUGACGGGUUAAAAGGUUGAAAUCGCCCCAAAAACGGGUCAAAAUCAGACCUCUCCUUCUUUCAUUUUUUUUUAUUUUUUUUAUUUUUAGAAACCUUCCCCCCUACCCCCUUUUAUUUGAUUGGUCAUUCUCCUUCUAGCUAAUUGGUCAUCUUAUUUUUGCUUAAAUCUGAUUAAGCUUCUUCCUUGUGGAAGUUUAAUUGAUUUAAAAUCUAUAAUUUAGUAAAACAACUUUAAAUGUCCGUAAUUAUACCGUUAUAAUCCGAACUCGUGAAUGGCUUUCGCCAAUACGUUCAUGGUUUCAAGAUCUAUUCGAAAAUGCUACUUGUGACCUCGAAAGGUCAACGAGUAAAUAAUAAUUUUCCAAACUUCACUCUUCGUAACUAGUUUAAUUGAAAUCUAAAUUCAAAUAAAUUAAUAUAAAUUCUCAAAAAAUAAUAUAAAAUCUCAAUAAUACAAAUAUGUAGAUUAUAACAGUGAAAUCCAGGAACGGGAUUUCACACUUCUAGUCUUUAUACUUCUACUCAUACGUUUGAUUUGAACAAUGUGAUGCAUGUUCUUGAUUUGAAACAAGAUUUGACUUCUACAAAUCGAUUUCUAGUUGAGAACUGGUGCUCCAUUCAUCUCUAUCCCUUUCACUUCAUUAUAAAGGAUCCCACUUCGGGGAAUGAGCUUUUUAAAGGCCCUGUCAAAGUUAGAUUCUAUCACUUUCUUGCACCCUCUGUUGUUGGAAACCAUCAUGCUUAUGUGAUCAGUACUAAAGCUUCUCAAGGCAUCUGGCAUCAACGUUUAGGCCAUCCAUCUUUCAAGAUUUUAAAUAAACUAGCUUCAAAGUCUAGUAUCUCUUGGUCAGAUAGGAUAAAUAAAUUUGUGUGCUCCAGUUGUGCUUUAGGUAAAUGUUCUCGAAAAUCAUUUACCUCUAUUUCUUGUAACAUAAGCAAACUUCUUGAGCUAUUGCACACUGAUGUAUGGGGUCCUGUGCCCAUUUCUUCUGUCAAUGGAUAUCGAUAUUAUCUUCUCUUGGUUGAUGAUUUUACUAAGUAUUCUUGGUUCUUUCCAUUGAAGUACAAAUCUGAAGUUUUCAGUACAUUUGUUCAUUUCAAAUCAAUGGUUGAAAACAUGUUGGGAUUCAAGGUUAUUACUAUGCGACCUGACUCUAGUGGUGAAUUUGUCAAUCGCAACUUCCCUGAUUUCUUUAAAACACAUGGGAUCUCUCAUCAACUCAACUGCCUUCAUAUCCAGAACAAAAUGGUUGUGCUGAAAGAAAGCACAUGCAUUUAGUUGAAACUGCCCAGACUAUUGUUACUGCAUCUCAAGUUCUUCAUAUCUAUUGGGUUAAAACAUUUUCAACAGCUCUUUAUCUCAUCAAUCGAAUGCCCACUAGUGGUAAACCCUCUUAUUGGGAACUCUUAUUUCAUAAACCACCAGAUUACACAACUCUCAAGGUCUUUGGUUGUAGGUGCUUUCCUUGGUUAAAACCUUACACAUUUUCUAAGCUUGAUCCUAAAAGCAAACCUUGUGUAUUUUUGGGAUAUAGACUAAAUCACAAAGGCUAUAGAUGUUUGGAUGCUCACACUGGGAAACUUUAUAUUUCCAGACAUAUAAUCUUUGAUGAACACACAUUUCCAUUUCAUCAUAACCAAUCCACUGUGAGUCAUCUUCCUCCAGUUCAACCUAUUUCCAAUUUCCCAUCCAUCCCAACCUCAUUAACCUUUACUCAUUCCUUUACUCCUUCUUCAUCAUCUGCUUUAUUAAACUCACCCUCACAAUCCAAUUCCUUAUUUACUUCACAUACUCCUUCACUUUCAGAUCCCUUACAUACCUCCUCCUUAUUCACCAUCUUCCCCCUAUAACUAAUAUUCAUCAUAUGAAGUCUGGCAUUUUCAAACCUAAGGCUAUUUUAGCAACUAAACAUCCUCUCCCAUCUCAUCUAUCUCCUGAUUACACACCUUCCACAUAUCUUCAAGCAUCUAAACACUUGCACUGGAGGUAAGCUAUGCAGGAAGAGUUCAAUGCUCUACUUCAAACUGGUACAUGGUCUCUGGUACCUCCUGAUUCCUCUCAAAACUUGGUAAGGUGUAAUUGGGUUUUCCAUAUUAAAAGAAAGCUUGAUGGUUACAAAGCCCAUCUUGUUGCUAAAGGAUUUCAUCUGCAACAAGGUCUAGAUUACAAUGAAACCUUCAGUCUGGUUGCAAAACCAAUUACCAUUCGACUUCUCUUAACCUUAGCAGCUAAAUUUGAUUGGUUUAUCAAAUAGUUAGAUGUUAGUAAUGCAUUUCUGCAUGGCAAUCUCACUGAGUCUGUUUUAAUGGUUCAACCUCCCAGGUUUGAAGAUCCUGCUCAACCACAUCAUGUUUGUACAUUGCACAAGUCUCUGUAUGGCCUAAAACAAGCUCCCAAAGCUUGGUUUGCCAAGUUAAUAGCUGCAUUACACUCUAUUGGAUUCUUUGGCUCUCAAAAUGACCAUUCUUUAUUUGUUAAGAAAGAUGCUUCAAUGGUAUAUGUCUUGGUGUAUGUUGAUAAUAUUUUAGUUACAGGACCAGAUUCUGCAACAUGUAAAACUAUGAUUUCUCAACUUUGUGAGUUAUAUCCUGUUAAGGAUUUGGGAUCACUUCAUUAUUUUUUAGGUAUUGAGGUCAAGAGAUCUUCUAAGGGCAUAUUUAUCUCUCAAACUAAAUACAUUCUGGAUCUUCUCAAGAAGGCACACAUGGAGGGUGCUAAACCCUGUGUCACUCCACUGAGCACAACUAAAUUGGAUCACUCUUCUCCAUUACUGUCCAAUCCAAAAGAAUACAGAUCCUUAGUUGGAGGGCUUCAAUACUUAACCUGGACUCGACCAGAUUUGUCAUUUGCAGUAAAUCUUGUUUGUUAGUUCAUGCAAUGUCCAUGAGAAUCUCAUUUCCAGGUUGUUAAACGCAUUUUUAGAUAUUUGAAAGGCAAUAUUUCUCUUGGUCUCUAGUUUCCAAAAUGUUUUGCACCUCUUAGUAUUCAUAGUUUUUCAGAUGCAGAUUGGGCCGGUUGCACUAUUGAUCGGCGUUCCACAGGUGGUUUCUGUAUUUUUCUGGGUGAUUCACUUAUAAGUUGGAGUGCUAAGAAACAACCCACCGUGGCUAGAUCAUCAACUGAAGCAGAAUACCGAUCUUUAGCUACCACCGCUGUUGAGUUAACUUGGAUUUGCAAAUUGUUAGUUGAUAUUGGUCUUGUUCUUCCCUGUCCUCCUAAACUUUGGUGUGAGAACAUAUAUGUUAUAUCUAUUGCUAAGAAUCGCCUUUUUCAUGCUCAAACCAAGCAUGUGGAGAUUGACUACCACUUCAUUUGGGAGAAAGUCUUGGUAAAUUCUAUCACAUUGCACUUUGUAUGUACACAGGAUCAAACUACAUAUAUUUGCACUAAAGCAUUAUCCAAGGGUCGGUUUCUUCUUCUCCGAGACAAACUUUCUCUUCAGCUACCUCAGCUUAGUUUGAGGGAGGAUAUUAAGGGUAGUAAUGUAAAUGAUGCUUAGUAAGUGUUGUUAGAGUUGUUGUGAGAAGUUUGUUAUACCUUACUUAGUUAAUAAGUUAAGUAGUUAUCCUAUAUGUAAAUGAUGGUAUAUAUACCAAAAUCGUAACAUUAUUCAAGUAAUGAAAAUCACAAUUUCAUUUCUCUCUUCUCUCUCUAUCUUUCUUACUGGAUCUCUCUCUAGAUUCUAACAUCUAUCUCUAAGAAUGGAAGAAAUAUAUAUAUAUAUCUGAAGAUGUUAGUUAUAUUAUUUGCAUUUUGUUAAGAGUCUGAAUCCCAUGUUGGAGAAAGAAAUGACAUUGCAUAUGCUUAUAAAUAGUUAAAAUUCUUGCAAUUGAUGAAGUGUGUUUAAUUAGAUUCUAGUUUUUGCUUAGAAAUUUUAUUCAAAUUUGAAGAAUAAGUUGUAUGGAUUUUUGAAGAAUUUGACAGAAAUUGUGUUGCAUGAUGAAUAGAGUGGUAAACAGGUGAAUGUGACUAGAGUUUGAUAACAGAAGAAGAUUUAGAAAAGCCAACAACCUGUAUGAAGAAGAUAGGAUUCUUGAAGCUAGUCCUUCCCUCAAGAAAUCCCAGAUAGACCCCGAAAAUUUUUAAUUUUUUUAUACAAGCGAUGUUAAGUGAGGGAGAUAAUGGAAGUUGGGACCUCAAGUGCAAAGAGCUGAUUUUUCUUAACCAACUCUUGAAACUAUGGAAAAAUCCCAUUUCAUAAUUUUAGUUUUAUUCACUAUGCAAGCAAAAAACCAUCUGCAAUGCUUCUGAUCUCCCUUUUUCUCUGUGUCUGUCUACAAAUUUCAUGUCAAGUCUUCUGCAAUAGGGAGAGAACUCCAUAUGGCACGCAGGGAAAUAGGUCGAUUCAAAGAAAGCAGAACGGACACAGACGCCUUAAAGAGCACAAGCGCAAUCCGAGAUGACUGAUACAAUGAAGAGAGCUAAAGAUUUGUCUUCUGUAAUUGAGGAAUCAAUCUCCAAGGCGAAAUCACGUACGCGAGAGAUUCAAGUACUAAAGAAAUCGCGAAGGCACGUAGGUAGGCGGGAAGAUCAGGUAUUGGCAAUUGGGGAUGUGGACAAUAAAAAAUAUACAGAAGUGAUGAGAGAAUUCGAACUUGUGAGACAGGAACUAAGCAUGCUUAAGCUUGAUAUGGCAUCGAUUUUACAAGAGAAAUUGGGGACAGAGAAGCAAACAGAGGCCUCAAAAGCAAAGAUGUUGUUUUAUACAAGCUUAAGCUUGUUAACGACCCAACUCGUUAACAAGUUAUUAUAGGAUACCCGAUAAUGAUCCGACUCAUUAACAGAUUGACUCGAAACUUGUUAUUUUUUUGUCAUUUUGUAUAUGAUUAACGGGUUCGUAAGAAAUUACCAAGCCUACAAUAUACUGUGGCUGAAGGGAUACCAAAAUUUUCAACUCAACAACAAUCAAAGAGAGUAUACUAUUAGGGCCCGUUUGUUUGGCUUCACUAAGUUUCAUUGGACUAGAUUGGAUUAGCUUUUAGUGUAGUCCAACAUUUGUUGUGAUGAGGGACUAAUAUUAAUGAGAUUAGCUGGGACUCGCCCAGACUAACGGCAUCGCUAGCAGUUCUUAGCGAGAGUCCCCGAAAACCACAGGACUAGCUAAGGCCUGCUUCGUCCUACUCCCGUUGCUCUGCUGGCGUUCUCUCUGCAACCCAAGCUUCAUCUUCUUUGCGACCACUUCAUCUUCUCUACAACCAUAGCGUCCUCUCUUUGCACACAUCUGCACAUCUUCGCAAAUCCGCUUGAAUCACAAAACCCAUAUUUGAAUCACAAAACCCAGACACGAAUUGCAAAUUCCAUAUUUGAAUUGCAAACCCAGAUUCGAAUUGCAAAACCAAGUUUGUUUGAAUCUCUGCAAAACCCAGAUUUGAUAAGAAAAUUUUGUAGCCUAAAAUCCAAAAGGAAAUAACCAAAACCCAAGGGUGCUUUGCAUACCAAAUUCCUUUUGCAACUUUCAAGAGAGAUGGAGAUUCUAGAUAGGGAAAUUGGGGCACAAUUUCUUUUUAUUUUUUAUUUUUGGAUCCAUUUGGUGCACAAUUAUAUAUGUACAAAGUUCAUUUGUUUUCGGGAGAAGGGAUGCAGUUGACUAGAAAAAAGAGAAAGAAAAAGAAAAAAAAAUGAAAAAAGAGAAUUAUUUUUUAUUAUUUUGGUUAUUAGUCCGACACUGCAUCAAAUGCUUCACUAAGUUAGUCCAGUUUAUUCUAGUCUAAACCAGUCCAGCUUAGUCCCUACAGCUAGUCCAGUUCGAGACAGUCCGGUGCAACAAACGCACCCUUACAUUAUUACAACCAUUCCUAAUAACAGAAUGUAGUAGUCAAUAAUACAGGAAUGAAUAACUGAAACAGCUGUGUAAAUCAAAUUUAACAGCUAAACACCCCUAGUAUUGAAUGGUACGUAAAAUUAAAGUCACACCCUAGAAUAAGUUUAAACUAAAAAAUGUAGGAAAAUGUUUUGGUUCUAUAAUUUAAACACAGUGCCAUCAAAUUACCUAUAUAUUGUUCAUAACUUGUACAAUUUUAACCGCCCGUAAGAAGAAAGAGAGAAAAGGAAGAAACAACAAAUUGGAACUUGUACAAUUUUAACUGCCUCUAAGAAGAAAGAGAGAAAAGGAAGAAACAACAAAUUGGAUUUUGGACGGGACUCGAACCAAAUCCGCCGUCCAUCCGAUCAUGUAAUGAAACCGUCACAAAAAAUGCAGCAAAGUAUUGCUCUUCCUUUCUUGAAAACCCUUUUCUCAACGAGUGCACCAAAAAAUGAAUAAAUUGUUUGUAUUAACUGGAUGAUCCUCACCUGAGAUAACGAGACGCAAAGUAAAACUCUUGCCACCCCUUACAGAGACAAAUCAAAUUUUAUUGGUUCUGAGUUUCCUCUGGUCCCUUUGCUUUGCCUCUGAGCAUGUCAGUGAAAUUCCCCCGCAUUAUUCGCCUUAAUCUAGUGUCUUCUGCAGGUGGUGAAGGUGUGGCCUUUGGGGACUCAACGGGCUCUGGUGGUGGCUCGGGACUUUCUUUCUUUCCCAGUAGACCACCUUCACCAAAGAAACUACUCACGGAGGAUGUAAGCCCAGCCCCCAUCACCUUACUGAUGGUAUCAAAAGUUCCACCAGAUCUCUCCUUCAUUAUAAUUUCAAGGGCUUCUUUGUGUGCAGGGUCAAGCGCAUCAGAGUCUCUAAAUAAGUUCUGUAUUGCAGGCAUAAGAAAGUCCCGAACACUAUUUGCUGAAAUAUCUGGAUUAAUUACGUAUAUUUGAAAUCAAUAUCAGCAACAUAUUACAAAAGCUGAAAAUUCUGGAACAUAGGGUUACGAAUAUAAACUAUAACUGUAGGUCAUUGUUUUAACAUCAUAGUAGGUCAUCAAAAGUCCGCACACAUAUUACCAAUCAGUUAAGAAUCCUAUGAAGCUACAGUUUGGCAUGGCGCGAUUUGUUAGGGCGCCACCAAAAACUAGUUUCGACACAUGAUUGUAAAGUUCCAACUAUGUACACAAGGUCAUUAAAGUGAAAACUGAUAUAAUCUAGGGAUAUCUUGCUUUUACAUAAACAUAUGGUUUCAAGCAUGGCUGCUCAAAAACUUAGAAGAACUGGUGAUCUGUGUAUUAUUUUGACAUUAUAGUCGUUUAAUAUUUGAUGUUUGUUUGCAUGCUAAAGAAACAUAAUCUCGUUUAGAGUAAAAUUAGGGAUAAAAAAUGCAUACGAUUCUCUUUGAUAAAACGCAUAACGUAUUUAAGUCUGAAAAUAAUCUAGGUAAUCAGACCAAAUUUCUUUUACAUGUUCCCAAGAAGUGUACAAGUGUCAUGUUCUAUAUAUAUGAAGGAAGUGAAAGAUAAUGUAGCUCAAGGUGUGUAAUGGUGCAGAAAGGGAAGAGAAAUUAAUAAACUAACAAUAUAUAGAACAUCUGGGUCAUAAGAAAAAGAAAACCUGUUGCAUCCAGAGCACGGAUUGCUUCACAAAAUGCAUUGACUCUCUCACGCCGGCGCAUCAAGUCACUUGAAGGUGGAGUGGCCGUCAGUUGAAAAAUCUUGGACAAAAGAUGUACAUGAUGUCAAAGAAACAAAGUAACCCAAUGAUUAUUCAAUAAUGAAUCCAAUAGAAAAUUUCCCAACCAACUAAAUAAGGUGUGUGUGCUUAUGAACACAUUGCUGAAAAUGUGCUACUAGUAAUUUUGAGUAAGCAUGUAGAGGAUAUAAUCUUUAAGUCUAUCCGUUGUAUGUGGUACAGCAACCACCAAUGCACGAACCACAGCAAUGGCAGCUUCAUGAGAUCCAUCUUCAAGAAAAGCAUCCAUUUGAACACGUAUCUUAUCAACAAUCUGGGAGGUUUUAUUUUGGUCAGCCAGAUGUAUGAAAACUGUUCGAUUAAGUAAGCUAAUAUCUUAAUUGCAGAAGGAAGAGAACUCAUACCAUGUCAUUUCUAAAAUUUUGGGCCACUGCUCCAAAGGCAUCUAUGCUUGCAUACUUCACACUCAAGUUUUGGUCAGAACCCACUAGGGCAGGUAAUAUAUGAGUAGAUGCAACUUUCGCAUCGAUAUAUGGAACCUAUAAACGAAGGAAACCAAUUAAUUAUUUCUUAACCAGACACAUAAAGAAAUUAGGACUCCAAGAAUGGAUAGACUUACAAUGACUUUCAACAGAUUGGCAGCAUUUAUUUUCAUAUCUAUGUUAGAGCUGACAACCAUUUCCCAGAGUAAAUUAAAUAUCAUACCGUGAUGAUCUUCAAAUGUGCUGCAUAUGGAAAGCCCUUCAGUCAAAAUUAAGUUACAAAAAGUUAGUCGUAAAAGGUAUUUAUUGCUUUUCUAACCAAAGGAACCGAACAGCAUCAACAAUCUCAGCAUUGUACUUCAUAGAUUGAUUUGGAACACCUUCAACUAAUAACUUUCUCAGGUACUCCGCUAAUUGUUCAUGCUUGCUUGGACCACCCAAAACACAAGCCAAGAGAAGAGGUAGGACACACAUAGUAGCCAAUCUCUUAGCCACAGCCGUUCUUGGCCUCAAACUUGUUAUGUAGAUAAAAUCCACAAUUAAGAGCACACACAACACUGGUGUGAAAGGAUUUCAAGUAACUUUAAAGUUAUUACCUUUGAUUCCGGAAUGCGUUGCAGAUGGGAAAAAUGUCAAUUCAGCUUCUUCCCCUACAGCUAACAAGAAUACAGGCAGCAUUAUGUGUGUCAAAUAAGAAUCCCCGUAGAGUUCUGAUACAGCCAAUAGAAACUGCAUUACCAACAUUUAGAUCAGAAACAAUUAAUAAAGUAUUGUUGAUGAUGUAAUAUAAAAAAGACACCAAAGACAGAGAAAGAUACCUUGGUGAUUUGGUUUCGCAAAUUGUCCUCUUUUGGAGGUAACAAGCAUGCGAGCUGUAUUAAAGCAGGAAAGCAGUCGGCAUGUAGCCACUCAAAUGCAGGCAAUUGAACAUGUCCACUACCGAGUUAACAAAAUUCUCAUAAGCAGUUAUAGUAAAUCAAUUUAACAAUAUCACUACCUAAAGACAAAAGUCAAACGGCUAUGUUCUGUCAGAAAAUAGUAGACAGGCCUGAAAAAAGAAUAUAUAACAAAGUAAAAUAAAAUAAAAAGGAAAAAGGAGAAAAGAGCUUACCCUGCAUACAAUUCAAGGAAAGAUUUAGAAAAUAUUGUUCCAGUUGUUUUGGGAUCAGAAGAAACUGGGCACUUCUCAAUUGCUUUCUGGUGCACAUACGGAAGAAUUUCCUCUAGCAUUCGUAGUAAAACAUCAACAUUCCAGCGUUCUCGUUCACCUAAAACACGAAGAUGUGACUCCAUAGAACCUUCAACGCCCGAAAGAGGAGGACAGCGCUGCAAUGUCACAAGGAUGCAAAUUAAAGAAAGUAUCAUUAGAAAGACCUUCGUCAUAAGUGGAAAAUAUAAUCAAACAGAAACUAACCUGAACCGAGCUUGAUAUAUGAGAGAGUAAACUCUUAAGAUAUGGUCUAAUUUGUUUCCCCACUUGUUUACUGCAGGGACUAAUUGUUUAAGCGUCGUUUCCACCACCACUCCAGAGGGAUCACAGACCAAUUGGAACAUCAACUCCUCGACCUAUAAAUAAAAAUACAGUAAAAUAUUGGAGAAACAGAUCCUUGACUACUUUAUCCAUUUAUUUCUUGUCAGUCAUCAUAUUAUGAGGAGAAAAUUCUCCAUGCCCUAGACCAUGUGGCAUCAACCUGUUCUAGAGCUUACAUUGUAGCCAUUUCUGUCAAGUCAGAAUUCCUCUCAAUGAGAGCCUCUGAAGCAUAUUAGUGAGGCUGACCUUGAAAUAUUUGUCCAUGGUCGGGAAGAGUGGAAGCAGCAAUGCAAGAUUAUGUGCAGCAGCCUCCCGGACAACAGUUGCAGAAUCUUCUAUGAAUUGUUGAACAAUGGACAAUAUAAGAGAAUCACGAAUCUCAGGCCGGACAAACUCUGCAAACUCUCCACAUGAUUGAGCAACUAGCAGCCUGCGUUCCUCAUACAUAUGAUUUAUCUGCAACCCACAAACCGGAGAAACAUAAGAAAAACUUAUCAGAAAUAUGAAAAGGUUAGACACGAUCCUCUUCUCUCAAGGCGGGGCUCAAACUUACUUGUUCCCAACACUGGGGAAGCAUUUCUGUUUCUGUUCUCAUCUCUCCUACAUUUUUAGCAAGGUUAACACAUGCCUGAAAUGCAGUCAAAAGAUUCAGGAACAAGUCCAAAACAAUGCAGCUAUAUUACAAAUAAUGUGGUAGUUUGAAUAUUAGCCUACAUCCAUUAUAAUUCUUCUCUGCUGCUCAUCUGGGCGUUUGAUUAGAUUAAACAAUGUGUGGGUUAAGGAAUCCCAAGUGCUGCUAUCUGGAUGGCGUUCAAUCACACACAUGAUUAGGGGAAGAAGCUCCUGUGAAUGCAUAACCAAUAAAAAAAAUAAAAAUAUGUCUUCUAUUAAAGGAUCAAUUUAAAGAUCCAUCAUACAAUGAUAAUAUCAAUAAUAUAUUUAUACACACAUAUAUAAUAUUUAUGUACAUAUGAAAAAGUACAAGAAGCAAACCUCCCGAUGGUUGAUCAAAGCAUAUGGAACAAUCUUCGGCAAAGCAUCAGCAAGGAUCUGAAUGGUCUCUAGGCCCGGUAAAAUAUAAGCAUAACUUUAGAAAAGGAAUAGAAGGGAAAGGCAGUUCCAAAGCUUCUAAAAAAUCAUUCUAUGUUCUAUUAUUCAAAAUUUAGAUGGGUAUCCCAUCCAAAACGAAAAGAAAAAGGAUGUGCCAACCAUGGAAGAAAAAAAACAUGUCUAAUCCGGUCCUCCUAUAAAGGCAUUGAUGCAAUAAAAGAAAUGUAAAAGAAACUUGCCCUUUUCUCGGAAACAUUUUCAGGACUAAGAUUCUCUGACGUUAGGUGUAGGCUGCUGCCUAAUGAUGGUUCAUCAUUUUGUUCAAAAUUGGUUGUCUCUGAAAAAUCAUGAGCUUUUGUGGUUUUGGAUUUUAAACUUUCUAGUUCCAUCUGCAAUGAUAUAAUUUCUUCCUUAUCUUUCCAAGGACAGAGAUUGGAUUUGAUCAGCAUCAGCAGCUCCCAUAUUCCUUCCAGAACGAUAUACAAUGCAGUGACUUGAGCUCUACAAUCAUUGAGCUCCUUUCUCUGGUGUUCCAACUUCCACCAAACUGAUCACGUACGAAGCUAUUUAGUGUUGGAAUUAAAUAGAAUUUAGUUUUGAUCAAGUGGUUGAGAAGGAAGAAACCAAUAGGAAAGUGUAUGUCUAGUCUCAUAAGACAAGUGUAUGCUUUAGAUCUUUGUUUGUGAAUCAAGGGCUUAUAUUGCUCUAGAUUAGCUUGUAAGAGAAAAAAUCCAAUGUGUUGAUAUUUAAUGAAAAUAUCUGUGCUUGCUGCAUGGACUGAAAAACCUUUCACAUUCCUCUAAACUUUCUCUGUUUUCUUGUUCCUUGUCUACCUUCAGAAAUACAUCAUACCAACCAAAUUAACUCACCGGAAUUUAUCAUGGCCUCAGAGCUUAGGUUCUGAUCAAUUUCAGGACUGGGCGUUUUUGUGUGUGCUUCGUAUCUCUGAAAAGGAAAGGGGAAAAACAUACCCAGAUCGUGAAAAUCUCAUAUGUUCUUACAAAGUCUCACAUGGCUACUUCGAGCAGUGGAGGAGAUCUGAGGGCUCCUUUUUUAAUGGGAUCAACUACGAUUUUUGGUCCAUCAAGAUGAAGACCAUAUUCAAAUCACAUGAUCUCUGGAGUUUGGUGGACAAGGGUUUUGAAACCGCAGAAACUAAAGAUGAUUCUAGCGAUGAAGAUCAACAGUCUGUGAGGAAGAUAGCAAUGAAAGUUAAUGAAACCAGAGAUGCAAAGGCUCUUGGUAUCAUUCAAGGGGCAGUGUCUGAUGAGAUGUUUCCUCGAAUCUCAAACUUUGAAACCUCCAAGAUUGCAUGGGAUGUUCUUCAACAAGAAUUUCGUGGUGAUAAAAAGGUUAGGUCUGUCAAACUACAAUGUUUAAGAAGAGAUUUUGAGUACACUAGGAUGAAUGAUGGUGAAGCUCUAUAUGCUUAUUUAACAAGAUUGACUGACAUUGUGAAUCAAAUGAAAACUCUUGGUGAAGAACUGACAAACCAAAGAUUAGUACAGAAGAUACUUAUUAGCUUGCCUAAAUCCUAUGAUUCCAUCACAUCUAUUAUAGAAGAAACUAAGGACCUUGACUCCAUUGAGGUUCAGGAGGUGAUUGGUACAUUGAAAGGCUAUGAGCAGAGGUUAAAUAUGCACUCUGAAAACUUAGCUGAAAAGGCUUUUACUAGUCUAAGUGUGAUUGAGAGAGAUAGCAGUUACAAGGCUCAGGGGAACAACUCAAAUCAAAAGAAAUUCUGGAAAGGAAAAGGGAAGAAAUGGGACAACAACCAUACUCCACAAUCAAAAUCAGAAACUAGCAAUGAUUCUACCAAAACCAAGUGUAAAAUCUAUGACAAAUUACACUAUGGUGUUUGCUGGUUCAAGGGAAAACCCAAAUGCACCAAGUCUGACAGAUUUGGCCAUCUAGCAAAAGAUUGUAAUCCAAGAAGGAACCAAGCUGUCAACUAUGCACAUAGAGCAGAAGAAGAUGAAGUAAAUGUCUUUUAUGCUUGUAGUGUUGCAAGAACUGAAAAUAAGAGAGGAAUCUGGUACAUUGACAGUGGAUGCAGUAAUCAUAUGACUGCAUAUGAAUCCUUGUUAAUCAACAUUGACAGAAGCUUCAAUUGCAGAGUUAAAAUGGGGAAUGGACAACUAGUGGAAGCUACUGGAAAAGGAACUCUUGUUCUAGAGACAAAGGGUGGAAGAAGAUUCAUCAAGGAUGUAAUACUUGUACCAGGUCUUGAUGAGAAUCUCCUUAGUGUGGGACAGAUGAUUGCUCAUGGUUACUUCUUACUUUUUGGAGACAAUAUAAUGGAGAUCUUUGAUGACAGAAGCCUCCAAAACUUGGUAACACAAGUUGGCAUGACAGAAAACAAAAGUUUUCCACUUAUGCUAGAUUACAAUGACUCAAUUGCUCUAAAAGCAAGUGUUGCAGAAAACUCUUGGUUAUGGCACAAGAGGUUUGGACAUCUCAACUUUCACAGUUUAAAGAGAUUGGAGAAACUACAAAUGGUGACUGGUCUUCCUGAGUUACAAGAGACUAAAGAACCGUGUGAAGGUUGCAUAUUGAGGAAGCAUCACAGGGACUCUUUUGAAACUAGAAAUGCAUGGAGAGCAAGCCAACCUCUAGAACUCAUUCACACAGAUGUGUGUGGUCCAAUGAAGACACCUACACUCAGUGGGAACAGAUACUUUCUGUUAUUCAUUGAUGACUGCACCAGGAUGGUUUGGGUAUAUCUUAUGAGAAACAAGAGUGAAGUCUUUUCAAUCUUCAAGAAAUUCAAAGUGAUGGUUGAACUUCAGAGUGGUCUCAAGAUCAAAAGACUAAGAAGCGACAGAGGUGGUGAAUUCAUGUCACUUGAGUUCCAAGAAUUCUGUGAAGGAGCAGGAUUACAGAAGCAAUUGACAGUGGCCUACACACCACAGCAGAAUGGUGUAGUUGAGAGGAAUAACAUGACUGUGGUUGAAAUGACCAAGUCAAUGCUACAUGAUAAGAAAAUGCCACUUUCUUUUUGGGGUAAGGCUGUCAAUACAUCUGUGUAUCUCCUAAACAGGUGUCCAACUAAAGCACUUGAGAAGAAAACACCUUUUGAGGCAUUUAGUGGCAGAAAACCAAGUGUGAAGCACUUGAAGGUGAUCAAUCUGCUAUGCACAGAUACCAUCUCAAUUAAGACACAAGCUUGAAAUCAAUAGUGUCAAGUGUGUUCUUGUAGGUUAUAGAAGUUGUGAAAAGGGCUAUAGGCUUUACAAUAUUGAGUCACAUAAAGUGAUUAUCUCAAGGGAUGUGGUGUUCAAGGAGAAUGAAGCAUGGAAUUGGGAAACCAAUAACAUUGACACUAUCUCAUUUCCACUAGCAAUGGAAGAAGCACAAGCUGAAGUGCAAAAUGAGAAUGAACCUGUUAUACAUGAUGGAAGUCAAAAUGACUUUUCAACUCCAACACAAGGAUCUCAGUUCUCUACUUCAAAUGCAGAAGGACAAGAAUUACAGGAUUCCUCCUUUGAAACAACUCCAUUGAGAAUGAGGAGUUUAAAUGAGAUUUAUGCAGUGUGUAACUAUUGUGUUGUUGAACCAGAGAGUUUUGAAGAAGCUGAGAAGGAUCAAUCUUAGCAGAAAGCAAUGAGUGAAGAAAUUUCCAUGAUUGAGAAAAACUCUACUUGGAAAUUGGUAAAUAGACCGAGUGAUAAACCUGUGAUAGGUGUGAAAUGGAUCUACAAGACCAAACUGAAUUUGGAUGGAUCAAUACAGAAGAACAAAGCAAGAUUAGUUGCCAAAGGCUACUCACAACAACCUGGGGUAGAUUUCAAUGAAACCUUUGCCCCAGUGGCAAGGUUAAAUACCAUUAGAACCUUGAUUGCUCUUGCUGCCCAAAAGGGAUGGAAACUUCACCAGUUAGAUGUUAAAUCAGCCUUUCUAAAUGGCAUUCUGGAGGAAGAAGUGUAUGUGGAUCAACCACAAGGAUUUGAAGUACCAAAUAAAGAAGAGAAGGUUUAUAAGUUAAACAAAGCACUGUAUGGACUCAAACAAGCCCUCAGGGCUUGGUACAGUGAGAUAGACUCCUAUUUCAGCAAGGGUGGAUUUAACAAAAGUCCUAGUGAAGCUACAUUAUAUACAAAAACUGGUGAGAACUCUGAGAUGCUUAUUGUGUCUAUAUAUGUUGAUGAUGUGGUCUUUACUGGUAAUUGUGAAGAAAUGAUUGAAGAAUUCAGAAGGGACAUGAUGAGACAAUAUGAGAUGUCGGAUCUUGGCUUGUUGCAUCACUUCUUGGGAAUUGGAGUAAUACAAGAAGUUACUGAGAUCUUCAUACAUCAACAGAAGUAUGCACAAUCAUUGCUUGAAAGAUUCAAUCUGAAAGGAUGUAAAUCUGUGGCAACACCAUUGAUCACAAAUGAGAAACUUUGUAAAGUGGAUGGUUCUGAAUCUGCUGAUGAAUGCUUAUACAGAAGAAUGGUUGGAAGUCUACUUUACUUGACUGCUACAAGACCUAACAUUAUGUAUGCAGCUAGUCUCUUAUCAAGGUUCAUGCAUAAUCCCACAAGAAUUCACAUGGAAACUGCUAAGAGAGUACUAAGGUAUAUCUCAGGGACCUUGGACUAUGGAAUCAAGUAUGAAAAGGGAGAAAAAGCAAUUCUGGUAGGCUUCUGUGACAGCGAUUGGGGUAGCAGUGAAGAUGACAUGAGAAGUACCUCAGGAUAUGCAUUUACAUUUGGUUCUGGGAUAUUUUCCUGGGCCUCUGUCAAGCAACAAAGUGUUGCAUUGUCUACGGCUGAGGCAGAGUAUGUGAGUGCUGCAAUGGCUACCUCUCAAGCUAUAUGGUUGAGGUUUGUGUUAAAGGAUUUUGGUGAAAUGCAAGUGGAUGCUACACCACUUAUGUGUGACAACACAUCAGCAAUAGCUAUGACCAAAAAUCCUAUUUUUCACCAGAAAACCAAGCAUAUCAAAAGGAAGUUUCACUUCAUAAGGGAAGCCUUGCAGGAGAAUACCAUUGAACUGAUCUACUGCAAAUCACAGGAUCAAAUGGCAGACAUCUUUACCAAAGCUCUACCAAGGGAAAGAUUUGUCUAUCUCAGAGGAAUGCUUGGGAUCAAAACCAGAAUUCAUUUAAAGGGGAGUGUUGGAAUUAAAUAGAAUUUAGUUUUGAUCAAGUAGUUGAGAAAGAAGAAACCAAUAGGAAAGUGUAUGUCUAGUCUCAUAAGACAAGUGUAUGCUUUAGAUCUUUGUUUGUGAAUCAAGGGCUUAUAUUGCUCUAGAUUAGCUUGUAAGAGAAAAAAUCCAAUGUGUUGAUAUUUAAUGAAAAUAUAUGUGCUUGCUGCAUGGACUGAAAAACCUUUCACAUUCCUCUAAACUUUCUCUGUUUUCUUGUUCCUUGUCUACCUUCAGAAAUACAUCAUACCAACCAAAUUAACUCACCGGAAUUUAUCAUUUAGGUUGUAGUUGAAAAAGGGCCUAAGGGCCUAACAACCAUAGUUUAGGCAACCAUGCUGUUGCACUAACCACCAUAGUUUAUAGUUCAACAGUCGCUAUAUUAAAGCCUCUUUUGAUAUCUAAAAUUAGAUCCAAAUGGAUCGCCGCUAAAUUUAGGUAAAAAUUUAUAUCCACCUAACAUGUAAAAGAUCAAUUACUCAUAAAGAAAACUUAUGAGUAUCAAUCUCUCCAUAAUGUAGGAUUACAAAGACGAAUUUCCUUCAUAACUAAUCCUCUCUAAUUCCCUCCAAAUAAAAAAUAUAACUACAGUUUCAGCAUCUUGCCGCAUAAGCAAGCAGGAUUGGCCAAGCUUAGCUAAGCACCAUCCAAAGAAAGCAAACUACAAAUAAUACGAAGUGACUACAAAUCCUAGCAAACACAACCCAAAUUCACAUAGAUCAGAAAAUCCCAACCUCCACCACUGUCAGGAGCAUACAUUUAGCGUCCUUCAUUAAUCAUUGUCAUUGUAGCUUCAUUAUUCGAAGGCUGUGGUUGAGGAUGAGAGACUGAGUUUUGGAUAGUGAAUAGAGGCUGUUUAGGUUGUGGACCACCAAUAACAUUUGUGGAACCAUUUAGCAUAAAAAUUACAUCCGGCAUGCUCGGCCUAUCCGUCGGAUUGUCCUGUACACAAAGCAGCCCUAUAUGCACACAUUUCAUUACUUCUGGAGCCGAAUAUGAAUCAGCCGCCAACAUUUCAUCUACCAACUCCAAUUCCCUGCCUUCCUUCCAUAACUGCCAUGCAUAGGCUAGUAAGCCUAGCUGUCGAUCAUAGAUAUAGAAGGCCGUAUUCUUCUUGCUGCUAAUAAUCUCCAAUACCAAGACCCCAAAGCUGUAGACAUCAGAUUUUUGAAAAAAUAUUCCACCCAUGGCAUACUCUGGAGAUAUAUAUCCACUGUACGAACAUGAAACUCAUUAGUAUAUAUGUCGCUGAAAUAAGUGCUUGGUUUCUGCCUUUUAAGAACAACAUUACCAAAACUAUAUCUAAUGUGAACGAUGCAACUAAUUAGCAGUUUUUAUCCAAAACAGGAGUCGGUUAAGAGUUCAUGAAUCAUGAUGCAAUGCUAACCAUUAGAACUUUCGUUGCGUAUGACAUGUUCAAGAAUAUAUAGGAAGGGCAUGAAUCUUACAGCGUUCCCACAACUCUCUGAGUAUUUUCUAAAUUCUGUGUCCCUUCAACCACACGUGCCAAUCCAAAAUCUGAAAUUUUUGGGUUCAUUUUCUCAUCCAAAAGAAUGUUGCUUACUUUUAGAUCUCUAUGUAUUACCUUCAAAUAGGAAUCAUGAUGGAGAUAAACAAGCCCUCUGGCAACAACUUGAAUAAUAUUAAAACGUGUACCCCAAUCAAGCACUGCUCUUCUCGUCGAAUCUGAGCAUCACAUAAUCGAUCAAUACACUGCUUAGAAUCUAAAGAUAAGAAAUUGCAGUAAAGUGCAAUUGAAACUAACCGAAAAGAAAAGUAUCCAAGCUUUUGUUUGGCAUGAACUCAUAAAUCAGUAACUUCUCAUCCUCUUUAACGCAGCAACCCAUGAUUCUGACCAGAUUUUUGUGUUGGAGAUUGGAGAUCAAUAACAUUUCAUUCUUGAACUCCACUACACCUUGCCCUGAGGUACUGGAUAGUCUUUUUACUGCUAUUUCCUUCCCUUCUGCUAGCUUACCCUACACAAAGUCGACAAAUAAAUCAUUGCACUCAUGUCUGUUUCUCUGUACCUAUCAUAAAAAUAAUAAUAAUUACCCAAUAAACUGGACCAAAGCCUCCUUGCCCGAGUUUGUUUUCUAUGCUGAAAUUGUCCGUAGCAACUAAUAUGCUAUCAAAAUCAUAGAUCAGUAACUCAGACAGAUCAUGUUUUCCACCUAUAUAUUCUUGAAGGGCGUCCCUUGUUAUUUUGAUGUGUUCCCUUGUUAAUUUGAUGUGUCCUGAUUUUGCAAAUAUACACAUCAAACACUGAAUCAAAGCAAAACAACUUACAGAGUUUUGAGAGAUAAUAUGCUAAUGCAUUAUAUUAAUCCAACACCUCGAUCUCUUUCACUUAAUUACCUUUUUGCUUAGCUCUCAUCCUGCACAAACCAAACACUAUGGCACCCAAUACACCGAUAAAACAAACAACUGUAAGGCUCACAAUUAACUUUAUUGGCUUUCCUUUACCUGAAAAAUUUACAA
rnacentral:lncRNA from 1 species